rnacentral:lncRNA from 1 species
CCUAUCUGGCCCACUGCCUAGCAAUGCAAGCAUGCUUCAAAAGCUAACUUUUGUGGAUUUGUCUUACAACUUGCUAAAUGGUACCAUACCAUCUUGGAACCUCCCUUUGCUAUCUUUGUUGUGGCUCAAUCAUAAUCAAUUUAGUGGACUAGCCUAUGAGAUCAAAAUAAACCCAGCAUUAGAAUUUUUGCAUUUAAAUAAUAAUCAACUCAGUGGUUCUUUUCCUCAAUCACUUGUGAAUCUCACAAACCUUUUUGCCCUUGACCUUUCAUCAAAUAACAUCACCAUUGAUGAGGGAAUGAAUAUCAUCUUUCCUAGCCUAUCAUCUUUAUUCUUAUCAUCUUGUGGACUGAAGAAUUUUCCACACAUCUUGAGAAAUGUAAAGACACUUCAGGUCUUGGAUAAUUCUAACAAUAAUAUUUGUGGUCAAAUCCCUAACUGGUUUAGCGGCAUGAGGUGGGACUUGUUGCAGUUCCUAAACCUUUCUCAUAAUUCAUUGACAGGCCACCUACCACAAUUUCAUUACUAUAACGUACAGUAUCUUGAUCUGAAAUUUAACUCCCUUCAGGGUCCACUACCUUCAUCCAUUUGUAACAUGAGCAAACUUAUCUUAUUAGAUUUAUCACAUAACUACUUCAGUGACUCAAUUCCAAGUUGCUUGGGAAGCAUGGCUAAUUUAAGGGUGUUGGACUUAAGAAGGAACAAUCUCACAGGGAGUAUUCCCAUUAUGUGCACACAACACUUCAUUGAGUGCCAUUGUUGUAAAUGGUAAUCAAUUUGAAGGACCUGUACCUGUGUCGUUGCUCAAGUGUAAUGGUCUAGAAGUCCUUGAUGUGGGGAACAAUGCUAUAAAUGACACGUUUCCAGCUUGGCUCGGAACCCUUCAAGAGCUGCAAGUCCUUAUAUUAAAGUCAAACAAGUUCCAUGGACCUAUAAGUACUUGUCAGACUAAGUUUUGCUUUCCCAAGUUGCGAAUUUUUGAUCCUUCAUGUAAUGAUUUCAGUGGCUCACUUCCUGCAAAAGUUUUUGGAAACUUCAAGGCAAUGAUCAAAUUAUAUGGCGAAGACACAAGAGAGAUCAAGUACAUGGAACCAUCUGAGGAGCCAUCGUACGUAUCGUAUGAGGAUUCAGUGUGUUUGGUGGUAAUCAAAGGGCAGAAUAUUGAGCUACAAAGAAUCAGCACAAUUACGACAACCAUAGAUCUCUCAAGCAACCAUUUUGAAGGUGUGAUUCCGAAAACACUAAAGGAUCUCAGCUCACUUUGGCUACUCAAUUUAUCCCGUAACAAUCUCAGAGGCGAUAUUCCAAUGAAACUAGGACAAUUGAGUAUGCUUGAAGCUUUAGAUAUCUCUUGGAAUCGGCUCACUGGAAAGAUUCCACAGGAAUUGACAAGAAUGAACUUUCUGGCCUUCUUAAACCUCUCUCAAAAUCAUCUCGUCGGACCAAUUCCUCAAGGUCCACAAUUCAACACAUUUGAAAAUGACUCAUAUGGUGGCAACCUUGAUUUAUGUGGUCUUCCUUUAACAAAGAAAUGUGGAAUGAGUGAUUCAUCGCAUGUUCCUCAACAGUUGGAGUCCGAAGAAGAAGGCGAGUCAUAUUUUUUUAGUGGAUUUACGUGGGAAUCAGUAGUCAUAGGCUACAGUUUUGGACUAGUUGUUGGAACUGUCAUGUGGAGUCUCAUGUUUAAAUAUCGUAAGCCAAAAUGGUUUGUGGAAUUUUUCUAUGGACUCAUGCCUCACAAAAGAAGAAGGCCAAAGAAGAGAGCUCAGAGAUGACAGACUUAAUGGAAGAUUGAGAGGGCCAACUUGUUUUUGAUUGAUUUUGUGGACUAAUUAGUGAACUUUUCUGGUUCUGUUUUUGUCUUUUCAAUUUUCUGUUUGUUAUUUGUAUAUGUUUGAUAGAAACAUAAUUAUAUAUGAGCCAUUUAAUUAGUAUCAAUGGUUAUUCAAGUUAUGUUUCUGUUUCAAGUUGACAUAAGUGAUCCACACAGCCACUUAUUAAUUAGCUAUGUUACUCGGACUUUUCAAAAAUGCCAACGGGUACUUGUUGGAUUCUUCAAAGUAUUGCAUUUCUCAAGGAACCAACACAGGUGUGACAUCAUUAUAUUUUAGGAGAGUUGGAGCAACAUAGCUCAUUAGUACAACAAAAAGGAAAAAGCAAAGCAGUAAGCAUAUAGAGUUUGGUUCAUGAUUGAAAUCACUUGAUAUUAGAAAGUUCAUAUAUUCAGCAUAACUGCAUGUCCAUUUUACAUUACAGUUCUUCUUAUACAAACUAGAAAAGAAAAUCUUGUGUUUACAGAAACUGAAAAUUGAUUUUCUAUAAUGUAAUACAUUUGCAUUGACCACACUACCCUUAUGUCACUGUGUUUUACAGGUUACCAAGUCUAAGAAAAAAAGUAAGAUUUUUUAAAUUUGUGAUUUUGAAUAUGACGUGCGAUUUUUGUGGCUAAUUAAUUACAUAUAUGCAUCAAAUCAUCUUUUAUUUGAAUAGCUUCGCCUUCUUAUAUGAACAAAUGACGCUUGCUCAAGUGGUUGAGCAUCUUCAUCAUUAGCCGGCAUACUAGAGAAUAAGUGGAAACACUAUGAAUCCUCCUAAAGUUGGGUCGGAACUCGAGGCUCAGUUAACCUUUUUUCUUUGUUGCUUAAUCUAAUACGAGAUUUUAUUAAUAAUAGAGUGCAAACUAGCUGUAAAGUAUCAACUUUGUCCCCAUUACGUUUUUUUCUACUACAAAAAAACUAGAAAAGUGAGAAGUGUUGUGGAAAAUUAUAGAAUGUACCUAACAUGUUUGAAAACAACUAAUCAGGAAUUUCUGAUAUUAUUUCUCUGCAAUCUUUAACAUUAAAUAUUGACCAAGUCAAGUAUCUCUGGUGGUGGAAUUAGAAUGUUGAGUUAGCUUUACUUUUAUUUCUUUCUUGUUUAAGAUCUUAUAUUUAUAAAAUAAGGCAACAUGUCCUAUCAUUAUUAUACUAAAUUUAUUUUUCUUCUUGUUUAAGAGCUUAUAUUUCUGUAAAGACUCUGUAUGUAAUAUUUUUCUUCUUUCUUUUGUUUUUCUCUUGAUUAGACUUUUUAAAUUUGAUUUUCUAUGAAUUUCUUAAUGUCGUAAGUUUUUGUUUGUGCUCAAAUUAGCCAUUUGUGAUUUAAUUGAAAGUGUUCUAACUACUAAUCAAAGUUUAAAAUUUAUAAUUAUUAGUGUGAAAGGAAUUAAUUUUAACAUUAAAAUAUGACCCUCAUUUGAUCACACUUUUAAGGAUUUAUUUAUAAUUAUUACAUUUUAUUACUCAAUACAUAUAUAUUUUCAUAUAAUUUUUAAUUGUUUUGAGAUGUAUAAAAAUUUAGAUGAAACACAUGUGCAACUCAGAAACUAGUAUAUAUACAUGGAUUUUGUAAGAAGAGAACAUCCAUCCUGUUAUUUGCUGAAAACAAACAAACAAAAAAUGGUCAUGAGUCUCUUUUUCUUUUAUUCAUUUCUCUGUUUUGUGUUGCUAAUAAGUGAAUGCUUUUCUUUUUCCUUUGAGCAUCAUCUUUGCUCUCCCACUGAAGCUUAUGCUUUGCUUCAGUUUAAGCAAUCCUUUAAAAUAUCUGAUUACUCUAGUUUUGAGUGUGAUACUUCUUUUCCAAAAACAAAUUCUUGGAAUGAGAGUAGGGAUUGCUGCAGUUGGGAUGGAGUCACUUGUAACUUAUUAAACGGUCAUGUUAUUGGGUUAGACCUUAGUUGUAGUCUGCUUGGUGGAAGUAUUCAUCCCAAUAGCAGCCUCUUCCAACUUCAUCAUCUCCACACACUAAACCUUGCUUACAAUGACUUCGAUUAUCCUUCUUCAAUCCCACAUAACAUUGGUCAAUUGACGAAUUUGAGGCAUCUCAACCUUUCUCAUUCUCACUUUGAUGGAAAAAUCCCAACAGAAAUCUCAUACCUUUCCAAUUUGGUUUCACUUGAUCUUUCUUCUUUUUAUGGUUAUGUUUUACAACUUGAUGAGAGAACAUUUGAAACAAUGCUUCACAACUUCACAAAUCUGGAGCUACUUUCUCUCUCUUUUGUCAACAUCUCAUCUCCGAUGCCUGUGAAUGUUUCUUCCUCCUUAAGGUACCUCGAUCUUGGUUAUACUAAUAUGCGAGGUGUUCUCACAGAGAGCUUUUUCCUUCUGUCAAACAGCUUGGAAACGCUCAAAUUAAGUGAUAAUGAUCUUCUCAAAGGAGUUUUUCCAAAGACCCACCCGAGCAACACUCUGUUAAUGGAGUUGGAUAUUUCAGGCACAGGCAUCUCCGGUGAGCUGCCUCAUUCAAUUGGCACCUUCAGUUCCUUGAAUAUCUUGAACCUCUAUGGAUGUCAAUUCUCUGGUUCCAUUCCUGAUUCCAUAGGAAACCUAACACAAAUUACGGAGUUGCUUUUAUCUUAUAAUCAUUUCACUGGCCAUAUUCCUUCCACAAUCUCUAAAUUGAAGCACCUCAGAAUUUUAUAUCUUUCUGACAAUUCCUUCUCAGGUGAAAUUCCUGAUGUUUUCUCUAACCUCCAAAAGCUAUACUAUUUAGAUCUUUCUGAAAACAGCUUCACUGGUCCAUUUCCUGCUUCAAUUUUAGGUUUGACACAUCUUGAAUACUUAGACAUGUCGAGUAAUUCCCUAUCUGGCCCACUACCUAGCAACCAAAGCAUGCUUCAAAAGCUAACUUCUGUGGAUUUGUCAUACAACUCACUGAAUGGUACCAUACCAUCUUGGGUGUUUCGCCUACCUUUGCUAUCUUCAGUGUCGCUCCAACAUAACCGAUUCAGAGGACUAGCCGAGGAAGUGAUCAAAACAAACCCAACAUUAAAACAACUGCUUUUAAGCAAUAAUCAACUCAGUGGUUCUUUUCCUCAAUCACUUGUGAAUCUCACAAACCUUGAAACCCUUGGAAUUUCAUCAAAUAACAUCACCAUUGAUGAGGGAAUGAAUAUCACCUUUCUUAGCCUAUCAUCUUUAUUCUUAUCAUCUUGUCAACUGAAGUAUUUUCCACACUUCUUGAGAAAUGUAAACACACUUGAGGGCUUGGAUAUUUCUAACAAUAAGAUUUGUGGUCAAAUCCCUAACUGGUUUAGCAGCAUGAGGUGGGACUCAUUGCUGUUCCUAAACCUUUCUCAUAAUUCAUUAACAGGCCACCUACCACAAUUUCAUUACUAUAACCUACCACAAUUUCUGUUUCAAGUUGACAGAAGUGAUCUACACAGCCGCUCAUUAGCUAUGUUACUCAAACUCUUCAAAAAUGUCAAUGGGUACGUGUUGGAUUCUUCAAAAGUAAUGCAAUUUUUAAGGAACCAACACAGGUGUCAUUAUAUUUUAGGAGAGUCGAAACAACAUAACUCAUAUUUCUUAACAUUUUCUGCUUCUACAUUUAUUGCUGUUAAAGAUCAUUGCUUGAAAUGGCUUAACUCAUACACACAGAGGAUAGCAACUAUUGAGCUGUUGACUGAAGUGUUCCAUUUAUUAAUACAACAAAACAGGAAAAGGCUACAUCCACCUCUGGGGCUCAUGUUGUUCUGUUUCUUCAAAUGCAAAACACUCUCUAUCAUGAUAUUCUUUAUUUUCAAGGUUCGAAUCUGAAACCCUUGGUUCAAUUUUACCUGGAACCAUUCAUUUAGCAUAACUAGAUGUCUUAUCGCAUUAUAGUUAUUAUACAAAGUGAAAAAAUUCAAGGGAUAAUAAGACCAUCUCAAAAAUCGGGUGUGUAACUGAAAAAUCUGACUCGACUUUAAGGGUAUACUUAGGGUGGUUCAAAAUCGAACCAUAACCGAUAGGCCAAUCGCAAAAUUGGCUUAUUUGUAUUGGAUUAUCGGAUUAACGGUUGAUCAACGAUUAAAAUUUUAUAGUUACGGUGCGGUGGCAGAUUACUCAAUUUCCUUAGGGAAAAUUACGCGGAAAAGCAAACAUAUACUAGUUAAUUAGCUAAUAUAGAUAUCACGACCCAAGUCUACACCCUGGAUGUGGCCGGCACUCAAGAACCAUUGUUGAUCCCCAAGCGAACCCUCAUCCUGACAGACUAACUUAAGCAUGCAAAAGCUUAAAAUUGAAAUUCAAUAAACUCAACUUUGUAAAACAUUAACUCAAAUGAACAACUUAGAAUAAAAAUAAUAUAUUCAACUCGCCAUAAAAUAGGCAACUUAAGUCUUUAAAACAUUUAAUAAAAUAAAUAAAUAAUACAGACUUUUCAACUAUACUGACUAUCUGUGAAGCCUCUAACUAAUAAAGAUAGAAGUCGAGACAAGACCCACGACAUCAUGACUAAACUAAAAAGUAAAUGAAAUCCUCCGGAAACAAGGAGGCUCACCAUAGCUAACUCGAACUCCCGGAUGUAUCAACGAAUCUCCUGUUAAUGAUCCUGAAUACAUAUGUCUGCAUCAUGAAAAGAUGCAAGCCAAAUGGCUCAGUACGUGGAAUGUACGAGCAUGUAAGGGGAAUUCUAAAACAUAAACAUAAGCUUGAAACUUGAUAAAAAGGAGACAUACUUUCCUCUUUUCAAACUUACUCAACUAAAGGAAUACUCAAGGACACUCAAAACUACUCAAACUUACUCAACUCAGAAGUACUCAAGGAUAAGAAACUCAACUAAGUAAUAAUUUUCUCAACUCAGUGAAACUCAACAAUAAGGUACUCGACACAAUGAANNNNNNNNNNNNNNNNNNNNNNNNNNNNNNNNNNNNNNNNNNNNNNNNNNNNNNNNNNNNNNNNNNNNNNNNNNNNNNNNNNNNNNNNNNNNNNNNNNNNNNNNNNNNNNNNNNNNNNNNNNNNNNNNNNNNNNNNNNNNNNNNNNNNNNNNNNNNNNNNNNNNNNNNNNNNNNNNNNNNNNNNNNNNNNNNNNNNNNNNNNNNNNNNNNNNNNNNNNNNNNNNNNNNNNNNNNNNNNNNNNNNNNNNNNNNNNNNNNNNNNNNNNNNNNNNNNNNNNNNNNNNNNNNNNNNNNNNNNNNNNNNNNNNNNNNNNNNNNNNNNNNNNNNNNNNNNNNNNNNNNNNNNNNNNNNNNNNNNNNNNNNNNNNNNNNNNNNNNNNNNNNNNNNNNNNNNNNNNNNNNNNNNNNNNNNNNNNNNNNNNNNNNNNNNNNNNNNNNNNNNNNNNNNNNNNNNNNNNNNNNNNNNNNNNNNNNNNNNNNNNNNNNNNNNNNNNNNNNNNNNNNNNNNNNNNNNNNNNNNNNNNNNNNNNNNNNNNNNNNNNNNNNNNNNNNNNNNNNNNNNNNNNNNNNNNNNNNNNNNNNNNNNNNNNNNNNNNNNNNNNNNNNNNNNNNNNNNNNNNNNNNNNNNNNNNNNNNNNNNNNNNNNNNNNNNNNNNNNNNNNNNNNNNNNNNNNNNNNNNNNAUGUGGAAUUAUGAGCAUGAACUACUCAACUCAAGACUGUUCGACUUAUAGGAUUCAUGCCAAAUUAUGGGCAUGAACACUUCAACUCAAGGACUUCAUGAGUAAUAUGAAAUAGUUCCAUGAUUAGAAAAUAUAAUCUCAAAGGGGAUUGGGAACUCAAUACUCAAGACUUAGAACUUAAAGAUAUUACCCCUCUCAAUGAUGCUCAAUUUAUGAAGUCUAUGCGGAAUUUAUGGGCAUGAACGACUCGACUAGAAGGUCUACAAACUACAUGGAAUUCAUGUAUAUGACACUUCUCAUUCUCUUACUUACCACCUCAAAACUUAGUUCAAAUCGAUAGUUGAUCUCAAAGGAUUCACAAUUGAACUCAAAGGCUUUCUUGAACUCUAUUCUUAACUUUCUCUUGAAUGUGAAUUAUGAAUUCAAGAGUUAUGGUUCAUGAUAUGAAGGAUAUCAUGAUGACAAAGUAUAUUCAUGAAUACAUUCUCCUCAUCCUCAUACUCACUUGCUCGAGUCUUGAAACAAGUUACUAGAAGUUGUAGAAAACUCCUCAAAAGAGCUCAAAGGGGCUUUCUGAGAAUGUUCGAAAGAAUUCUCAAAACUUAACUCUUAACUCUACCUUGAAUUUGAAUUAUGAAUUCAAGGUUAUGAUAAUGUUAGGAAUGAUUUUAGGUGUUUAGAAGUAUCUUAGAGUAGUUAGAAUCGAAAAGGAGUGAAUGUACCCUUCGAAAGAACUCAAACGAAGCAACCGAUUGCAAACUGGACGGGGCAGGAGACCCUGGGGCUAUGGGUGGCGCGGGGAGCCAGCCCCUAAACUUCAGAGCAUACUUUGGGGCGCUCUGGUUGGCGCUACGCGCCAGGACCCAACCCAGAAGACCCGACGAAAUUCUUUGCUAGUUUUCUCACCCUAUUUCGCUUAGAAUCGAGCGGUUUCUUCCCCAAUCACUUGGAUUCGAUUAUUUAACAUAAGUACACUCUAAUAUAUUCAAUACAGCCCUAAAAACACUCACAUUAAUCUCAAGAAAUCAUCAAAACUUCAACAAAACAAGAUUUAAAAUGAACUUCAAGAACACCUAACAAGAAAUCAUCAAGAACUCUAAUCCUUCAACUUUAAGAACAAAAUUGCGCUGAAAACAACAUGAUUGGCGUGUUGGUGAACAAAUCCAACACUAUGGAAGCUUACAUACCUCUUAGGGAUUAAACCCAUGGCGAAAAUCCGCAACAAAAUGCAAGACUCUCGACGAACGCUUUGAUCAUCUCCUCUUUUCUCCUCUUUUCUCUUCUUGAACUCUCAACUAAAACUCUAGGCUAAUUUUAGGAUUAUAAAACUGAACCUAAUAGGAUUAGACCCUUAAAACCUUACUAAAAAUGAAUUAAAUCCGAUUUGGUAAGGAAAAGACUAAAAUACCCCUCUAAAAUCCGGUUUUGACUUUCCUUAUCUAGACAACCCAACUUCGAAUGCACAUAUCUCCCUCAUACCAACUCAAAAACUGAGAAAACUCGGUGGCGUUGGAAAGAUAAUUCAAAGAUCUUUCCUACGGUAUCUGGUAGCACACCUAAAUCAUUCUGAGAUAGGAGUUAUGGUCGUUUGAAGUCAACCCAAAACUCAUACUUAGCUUAACUUGCAAAAUUUCAAAUAUUUGUUAUUUCCAAUUUAGUUCUUUUUGAUACUCAGGUGCUACAUCUAGUGACCUGACCUUAACACUUAAGAAAUUUUAAAUUCCUUAGUAAAAUCCUACUCACAACGAAGGACGGUUCAAGUCUUAGCUCAAAAUUUUUCUGGGGUGUUACAAUAGCUAUAGUUUGAAUUAAUUACGGCUCGCAACUUAAUUUUAGCUUUAAUUACGCCACUUGUCCUCUUUUAUACAUAUACAAAUACAAAUUAUACACAUAUAUACUCUUAUCGUAUCAUUGACUAAUGAGUAAUUUCUUAACAAGAAACCUUAAUGAUACCAAUAAAGUAUAUAUAUACUGAUUUAGUAUCAAUUUAGCGAAAUUAUCAGCCUUAAUGAUAUCAAUACAGUAUAUGAUAUUGAUUUAGUAUCAGUUAAGCGAAAUUAUCAACCUUAAUGAUACAAAUACAGUAUAUGAUACCGAUUUAGUAUCAGUUAAGCGAAAUUAGUAAGAGGGUAUAUAGUGUAAUUAUUUAGUGGGGUAUGAAUGUAAUGCGGUAUAUGUUUGUAAUUAUUUUGCUUUUAUGGGGUAUUUGCUUAUUUUCCCCUUUUCAUAAAUCUAACUUGAGGUGGGCUGAGUUCUAUUAAAUGUCGGUUGGGCUUGUUUUGCAAUUUCUAAAAGCCCAUUAAGUUUUGGCAUCUAUAUAUAUUUGGGUCAUUCACCAUGAAGUUAAGGAUUAAAAAAAUUUCUUUCCAUAUGACAUUCAUAUUUAAACGAAUUUAAAUUAUAUAUACCAACAAUAUAAAGUCUACAAUCAGUAUAAUUUAACGUGUUCUAGUUAGCAUGUUGUUUACCUUGAUUUGCAGGUUAUUAAUUUCACUUAUAAUGAAGAGUCAUGAUCUAUAGUUACUUUUAGACGAGUUGACAGUAAGAAAAUUUCUUUAAAGCUCUAGCAUACAAUUUUUCGAGAAACAAAAAAUAUAACAAAUGGAGAUAAGCCUAAAAUACCUUCGAACUAUUGGAAACGGAGGUACACACCACUCUCUUCAGACCCCACUUGUGAAAUUACACUAGGUAUGUUACGUUGUUACUCUGUUUCACUUACAAAACACUUUUGCAAAAUAUCAUAUUUUUCUUUUUUUUCCCAUCAGUAGUCUUUGUGGAAAUUGGGUUAGACUUUGGUGGAAUAUUGAUGGAGUUCUAACAAGUCUUGUGGUAAUUUAUUGAGAAGUUUGUAAAACAGACUAAUCAAUUACUUGGAAUGAUCUUCACAAAAUUAUUCAAAACAUACUAACUAAUUAAGCAGGAAAACACAUAUCAAACAAAAUUUUAAAUAAAAUUCCACACGGUAUUGGAAAUUUGUCACAAAAUUCUGCAGAAAUAUUUUCUACCGUGAGUGUUACGUAACGAGACCAAUUAAUUCACAUCAUCUUGCAUAACACACGCUGCAGAGAUAUAUAGUCGAUGACCUUGAAAUGAAUAACAACAUCUAGAGAAAAUGAGGACAUAGGGAGUAUUAUUUUGUUAAGUCUUCUUCGUGCUCUGAAAAGUCUUGUGGAACACUAUAAAAUAAUGUGUAACACGUUGUUAGAAGUGACUAGUACUCAUUCAUGGACCACAAAUGACUGAAAAUUGACUUAACACUUGGGACAACUUUUUAGUAACCACAAAUUAUUACCCCAUUUUAUUUGUCUGGAUGUGUUUCUUUUCUUCGUUAAUUUAUAAUUGAUAGUCCCGUGCAUAAACAAGUCAACAACGCUGCUUUAUGAAUUACUGUUUAGUUAAUUGUUCACUUUAUUUAAUGUGGAGGUCGUUGUAAUAAUUAAGAAUUGGAAUAGUGUUUGGUUAAUUAUAGUGCAUCCUUUCUUAUGUGGCUACUUAUUUUAUUGACUUAUACAUGUCUUGACAAUUAUCAUGAACCCACAUCAUUAUUUUUACGUUUACCUUUUUUAUUCUUUCAUUAUUAAAUAUUCUAAAGUCUACCAAAUGGUAAAACCUUUUACAUUAUACAAAAUAUAUUGUUGGGUGUUAAUAAAAAGAUCAAUUUGUUUUUUGGUGUAUUCUUUAAAUUACAAGCACUACAACAAAAACAACUUUUAGCGGCAAUAAAUAUACACAUUAAUAAAGAGUGUUAAAGUUUUUACCAGCAUUGGUUAAGUAUCAUUAGAUUCAAUGUCGCUAAAAACUUUAGAGACAUACACAAAGAGGGUUAAUUGCCACUAAAAAUACAUUAUAUCAUUAUAUCAAAUUCAACACAACUAUUUCAAUAUCAUUAUAUAAACUUCUUAAAGUUUUGAGUAGGAUUUUAUUAUUCUAACUUUAUAUUAUAUCUUUUCAUUGAAAAUUUUCGUUGUUUGUAUUCUUACUUAAUAAAGGUUUGUGUACCUCCUACUUCCUUGAAACUCUACGCAGUAUGUUAUAAGUAUUUUAAUUUAUGUAUGACAACUAAAAAAAUAAUUAGAGGGCCUUGCCUGUAUGUUUUCAUAGAAUUUUGAUUAUUCUUACAAAUCUAUAAAAAAAUUACAAAGGACACUUAGAAAGUAGUAUAUAUAUGUGUGGAUAAUACUGAUUGAUUUGUAAGAACACAUCCAUCCUGUUAUUUGCUGAAAACAAACAAACAAAAAAUGGUGACUCUGUUUUUCUUUUAUUCAUUUCAGUGUUUUGUGUUGCUAAUAAGUGAAUGUUUUUCUUCAUCCUUUGAUCAUCGUCUUUGCUCUCCCACUGAAGCUUCUGCUUUGCUUCAGUUCAAACAAUCCUUUCAAAAUAUGUCCAGAGAGUCCUGUAAUUAUUCGUGUCAUGGAGAUUGUUUCCCAAUAACAAAGUCUUGGAAUGAGAGUAGGGAUUGCUGCACUUGGGAUGGAGUCACUUGUGACAUGUUAAACGGUCAUGUUAUCGCCCUGGACCUUAGUUGCAGUCAGCUUGUUGGCAAUUUUCAUCCCAACAGCAGCCUCUUCCAACUUCAUCAUCUCCAGACACUAAACCUUGCUUACAAUGACUUCAAUUGGUCUUCAAUCCCACAUAACAUUGGCCGAUUGACGAAUUUGAGGCAUCUCAACCUUUCAUGGUCUCACUUUAGUGGAAAAAUCCCAACAGAAAUCUCAUACCUUUACAAUUUGGUUUCACUUGAUCUUUCUGUGAUUGGAUUCCAACUUGAUGAGACAACAUUUGUAACAAUGCUUCACAACUUCACAAAUCUGGAGGUACUUUCUCUUUAUGGUGUCAACAUCUCAUCUCCGCUACCUGUGAACAUUUCUUCCUCCUUAAGGUACGUGGAUCUUGAAUAUACUAAUCUGCUAGGUGUUCUCACAGAGAGCUUUUUCCUUCUGCCAAACAGCUUGGAAACGCUCAAAUUGAGUGGGAAUGAUCUUCUCAAAGGAGUUUUUCCAAAGAUCCACCCGAGCAACACUCUGUUAAUGGAGUUGGAUAUUUCAUCCACAGGCAUCUCUGGUGAGCUGCCUCAUUCAAUUGGCACCUUCAGUUCCUUGAAUAUCUUGAACCUCGAACAAUGUCAAUUCUCUGGUUCCAUUCCUGAUUCCAUAGGCAACCUAACACAAAUUACGGAGUUGAUUUACUUGGGAAUCAGUAGUCAUAGGCUACACUUUUGGACUAGUUGUUGGAACUGUCAUGUGGAGUCUCAUGUUUAAAUAUCGUAAGCCAAAAUGGUUUGUGGAAUUUUUUGAUGGACUCAUGCCUCACAAAAGAAGAAGGCCAAAGAGAAGAGCUCAAAGACGACGGACUUAAUGGAAGAUUGAGAGGGCAACCUUGUCUUUGUUUGAUUUUGUGGACUAAUUACUGAACUUUUCUGGUUCUGUUUUUGUCUUUUUAAUUUUCUGUUUGUUGUUUGUAUAUGUUUGAAAGAAACAUAAUUAUAUGUGAGUCAUUUAAUUAGUAUCAAUGGUUAUUCAAGUUAUGUUAGUUUGUUUCUGUUUCAAGUUGAUAGAAGUGAUCUACACAGCCGCUCAUUAGCUAUGUUACUCAAACUCUUCAAAAUGUCAACGGGUACGUGUUGAAUUCUUCAAAAGUAGUACAAUUUUAAGGAACCAACAUUGGUGUCAUUAUAUUUUAGGAGAGUCGGAGCAACAUAACUCAUCAGCAUAACAAAACAGGAAAAAGCAAAGCAGUAAGCAAAUUGAUCAGUUUGGUUUAUGAUUGAAAUCACUUGAUAUUAGAAAGUUUAUAUUUUUGAAAAUUAAUGUAGAAGAGUAAUCAAAACUACAGAAUUGGCUAAUAAUUUUGUGGUUCUGCAUCUUUCUAAUCAUAAAUCAGCCAUAAAAUAUUCUCUAGCUCAGUUUCAACUUCCGCGAUUUUAAUUUUAGUAAGUUUUUACAUAUAUUUAUACUUCGUGGACGAAAGUUAUCUCUGGUUGUUCAACAACUAAUUCAUAUUGUUUGAUUAUCAAUGAAGGAAAGGUUUUUUUAAAGGGCAAAACGCUCUAUACGAGGAUUUUUUAUUAUUUUUCAAGUUUGAAUUCAAGACCUGUGAUUCAGUUUCAUCCGGAACUUUACUGUCUACAAAACUACAUGUCAAAGUUAUUUUUGAUGAACUAAAAUAGACUUAUUCCCAAAAUUUAAUUUAACGCAAAAAGAAAUAUAAUCAAAUUAUUUAAAAAUUAAGAAAGACAAAUUAAAACCUUUACAUAAUUUGACACAUGGCAAAAUAUAAUUGGCUAAAAUUUUGGUCCCACAAAUAGUCAACUCACCUGUCAAAAAAUGACAUUCCUAUUUUCUUUUCCUAAUUUUAGUUUGGACACUUUGAAAACAAUUAAAGUAUCUUUGUCUGGUUAUGGCCGUUCAAAGCUUUGAUUAUAACAAGAAAGAUGAUUGAAAAUAUCGGUUUUCUUCCUUUUAAUUGGUUUGUUUUAUUAUUUUUUUGAAAUUUAAUUUAUUUAUCGUACUUUAUACUUAAAUUUGUCUCAAAAAGAAUAAUACGUUUCACAUAUAUAUAUAUAUAUAUAUUUAAGACUAUAACAUUAAAAGAUAUUUUGAUAUGUUUUUUAUAUAACUUUAAUUUAAUAUUAUAUCAUUGAAAAUUCUUCUUUACUUAUAUAUUUUUUUUAUUUUGAAUUUUUAUAUUUCAAUAUUCCACGUGACACGUUAAAAAGUCACUUUAGUAGUAUAAGAUUCAAAAGAUUUUUUUUUCACUUUGUUAAACUUAUAUCAAGUCGAUAGAAACUAGACAAACAAAUUAAAACGAAGUCACACUUUUCAAUACAUAUUCCAACUUUCAUUGAGUCUGAAGAUAUACUUUCUGAUUUAUUUAUUUUCAAGAAUUUACCUGUUGGAAGAACCCCACCAGAAGAAAACUCCAAAAAACAGACUAAAAAUCCCAACUUUGAGUUUUUCUUUCAACAAUUAUAAGUUUCAGUGAAAAUCUCAAGAUGUAAUUUUUUUCAAGAAUUCAUCUUUUAGGAAAACCCCAUAAGAAGAAAACUCCAAAAACAGAUUCAAAAUCUCACCUUUUUUUUAGAUCUUUUCAACAUUUUUCAGUUUAUUAGCUUACAAAAAUCACUGAACAAGGAAGAAGGGAUUCAAGAAAAAGUGGAAUAAAAAUGUCAUUUGUUUUAGGGGUUGUGUUUGGAAUAGCAUUUGGACUUGCUAUAAUAGUUGCUUUUGUGAAAUCUGAAAAUGCUAGAUCCAAACAACGUACUGAUCUGGUUAGUCAACUAAAGUCUUUGUUUUUUUUGGAUCUUUAUUUUUUUCCAUUUCUGGGUUUUUUUUUUGUAUUUAUGUUGUUUUUUUGGUUGAAUUGUAAAGGCUAGUGGAAUUGCUGCAUUUGCUAGAAUGACAGUGGAAGAUUCAAGAAAAAUCUUUACACCAGAACAAUACCCUUCUUGGGUUGUUUUCUCAAAUCAACAAAAGGUGAAGUCGUUUAACUUUUCUUUAAGAUGUAUUUGGUAGGACGCAGAGGCGGAGUCAGAAUUUUUAGUUUAUAUGGGUUCUAGACCACUGUUCUUUUUGUUUUGUUGGGUUUCUGAAAGCUAUGUUGCUCGGACUCUCAGAAAAUGUUGUUUGUACCCAUUCUGGAUUCUCUAAAGUUGCACUAGUUUGGAGUAUACGACACUAACCAUCAACCGUAACCAUUUUUGAAGAGUCCGAACAACAUUGACUGAAAAGACUAUUUUUACAUCUUAUAACAUUAAUAUAGGGUUAAACCAAAGCUACUGGAUUUUGAUGUACUUGUAGCUAAAGCAAUGUCAUUUAUCAUAAAUCUGUAAACUGACUUAUUUUCUAGAAAAUGUUUUUCGUAAUGGAUUUUUUUUUCUGGGAAAAGACAUUUAAUCGGAUAGUGUUUGGUGAAAAUAUUUGAGUAGUAAAGAUUGAUAAUAAUGUUUAUAUGUUGAGAUAAUUGUUUGCUCCUUUUUGGUGGAAAAUGUUUUCGCAAAACAUAUGUUCUAGCAGCCAAAAUCAGAAAAAAGAGAUUACAAACACACCGUUGAUGUCCUUAUCUGUUUUUGGAGCACAUAGUGACCAUAUAAGAUCAUUGAGAUUAAAUUCAUGCAUUAUGGUUCAAAUUGUGGUCUUUGGUUGCAAGACUGUCCCUUUAUGGACUUUGUUUAAUUUCUAUCUAGAAUACAUCUUGUGAUUUAGUUUGUUGAGGGCAAAAAAUGACCUUUUGAAUUUUUCAAUUUUGUUCUUACAGUUGGCAUGGCCAGAUGUUGUGAUUUAGUCAACUAAAGUUUUUGUUUUUUCUUACUUCAAUUUUUUUGGAUUUUUAGUUUUUUCCAUUUUUGGGGUUUUCUGUAUUUAUGUUGUUUUUUUGGUUGAAUUGUUAAGGCUAGUGGAAUUGCUGCAUUUGCUAGAAGGACAGUGGAAGAUUCAAGAAAAAUCUUCACACCAGAACAAAUACCCUUCUUGGGUUGUUUUCUCAAAUCAGCAAAAGAUGAAGUCUUUAACUUUUCUUUAGGAUGUAUUUGGUAGGACGUAGUGGCUGAGUCAGAAUUUUUAGUUUAUAUGGGUUCUAGACCAUUGGUUCUUUUUUGCUUUGUUGGGUUUCUGAAAAUUAUGUUGUUCGGACUCUCAAAAAAUGUUGUUUGUACCCGUGUCGGAUUCUCUAAAGUUGCACUAGUUUGGAGUAUACGCCAGUAACCCAUCACCCAUCACCAUUUUUGAAGAGUCCGAGCAACAUUGACUGAAAAGACUAUUUAUACAUCUUAACAUUAAUAUAGGGUUAAACCAAAGCUACUGGAUUUUGCCGUACUUGUAGCUAAAGCAAUGUCAUUUAUCAUAAAUCUGUAAAAUGACUUAUUUUCUGGAAAAUGUUUUUCGUGAUGGAUUUUUUUCUGGGAAAAGACAUUUAUUGUAGAUUGAAUCAGCAAAUUGGAUAGUGUUUUGGUGAAAAAUAUGUGAGUAGUAAAGAUUGAUAAUAAUGUCUAUAUGUUGAGAUAAUUGUUGUUCCUUUUUGAUGGAAAAUAAGAUUUUACCAAACACACUGUUGAUGUCCUUUACUGUUUUUGAGCACAUAGUGACCAUAUAAGAUCAUUGAGAUUAAAUUAGUGCAUUAUGGUUCAAAUUGUGGUCUUUGGUUGCAAGACUGUCCCUUUAUGGACUUUGUUUAAUUUCUAUCUAGAAUACAUCUUGUGAUUUAGUUUGUUGAGGGCAAAAAAUGACCUUUUGAAUUUUUCAAUUUUGUUCUUACAGUUGGCAUGGCUUAAUUCUCAUCUUGAAUAGAUCUGGCCAUAUGUGGAUGAGGUUAGGGGUUCAAUGUCUAUACAUAGUUUAGUUUUCCACUCUAUUGCGAUUCUGCAAUUUUUCAUUUCCCCCUUUUUUUGGUUCUAAUUUAUGAUUGUUUGAACUUCUUUGUUGCUAAUUGAGUCGGUAUGGGUAUAUAUGGUAAUUCAGGCAGCAUCAGAACUAGUAAAGUCAAGUGUGGAGCCAGUUUUGGAACAAUAUAGGCCUGUGAUUUUGGCGUCGUUAAAAUUUUCAAAGUUCACUCUUGAUACAGUUGCUCCACAAUUCACAGGUUAGUAGAUUAUGGCUGGUGUAACCUGCCUCAAAGCUCUUGUAUAUUGUACUACCUAAAAGUUUUAGGAGUCACUUAUACAUAUGAACAAACUUAUCAGUCCUCUAGGUCUUUAUGGCAUGCUUAUGUCUGGAGUAGCGUAACAUUUCCCUGCACGGACACCACCACCAUCAAAAAAAAAAAACGGCAUAACAUUUUCUUGCCAUUUAUAGCCUCUUGAGAUGUCAAAAUGUGACAAAUAAUUUGAGACAGGCAAGGGUAUAAAAGAUAUUCAAACCUCAAAGAGCAAUCCUAUCAUCUCGUGUCAGUUAAUCCUUAAUAAAAGAAACUGCUUGUGAGGAUGAAUCUCACUACAUUUAACAAAUGCUUGAUCUCAUGUAUAUGCCACUGCAGGGAUUUCUAUUAUUGAAGAUGGAAGUGAGGGUAUUACUAUGGAAUUAGAGAUGCAAUGGGAUGGUACCAUACCAUCUUGGGUGUUUAGCCUACCUUUGCUAUCUUCAGUGUCGCUCCAACAUAACCGAUUCAGAGGUCUAGCUGAUGAAGUGAUCAAAACCGCUCCAACAUAACCGAUUCGGAGGACUAGCCGAUGAAGUGAUCAAAACAAACCCAACAUUAAAACAACUGCAUUUAAGCAAUAAUCAACUCAGUGGUUCUUUUCCUCAAUCACUUGUGAAUCUCACAAACCUUAAAACCCUUGGACUUUCAUCAAAUAACAUCACCAUUGAUGAGGGAAUGAAUAUCACCUUUCUUAGCCCAUCAUCUUUAUUCUUAUCAUCUUGUCAACUGAAGGAUUUUCCACACUUCUUGAGAAAUGUAAAGACACUUGUGUACUUGGAUAUUUCUAACAAUAUGAUUCGUGGUCAAAUUUCUGACUGGUUUAGCGGCAUGAGGUGGGACAACUUGUGGUACCUAAAUAUUUCACAUAAUCUUUUGACAGGUUACCUACCACAAUUGCAUUUCCAUAAUCUAGGGUAUCUUGAUCUGAAAUUUAACUCCCUUCUGGGUCCACUACCCUCAUCCAUUUGUAACAUGAGUUCGCUUAUCUUAUUAGAUUUAUCACGCAACAACUUCAGUAACUACAGUUUCGUAUGAGGAUUCAUUGAGUUUGGUAAUCAAAGGGCAGGAUAUUGAGCUACAAAGAAUCAACACAAUUAUGACAACCAUAGAUCUCUCAAGCAAUCAUUUUGAAGGUGUGAUUCCGAAAACACUAAAGGAUCUCAGCUCACUUUGGCUACUCAAUUUAUCCCAUAACAAUCUCAUAGGUCAUAUUCCAAUGGAACUAGGGCAAUUGAAUACGCUUGAAGCUUUAGAUCUCUCUUGGAAUUGGCUCACUGGAAAUAUUCUGCAGGAACUGACAAGAAUGAACUUUCUGGCCUUCUUAAACGUCUCUCAAAAUCAUCUUGUCGGACCAAUUCCUCACGGUCUACAGUUCAACACAUUCGAAAAUUAUUCGUAUGGCGGAAACCUUGAUUUAUGUGGUCUUCCUUUAUCAAAGCAAUGUGGAACGAGUGAUUCAUCACAUGUUCCUCAACCAUUGGAGUCCGCAGAAGAAGGCGAGUCAUAUUUUUUUAGUGGAUUUUCUUGGGAAUUAGUAGUAAUAGGCUACAGUUUUGGACUUGUCGUUGGAACUGUCAUGUGGAGCCUCAUGUUUAAAUAUCGUAAGUCAAAGUGGUUUGUGGAAUUUUUUGAUGGACUCAUGCCUCACAAAAGAAGAAGGCCAAAGAAGAGAGCUCAGAGACGAAGGACUUAAUGGAAGCUUGAGAGGGCUAAAUUGUCUUUGUUUGAUUUUGUGGACUAGUGAACUGUUCUGUUUUUGUCUUUUUUUAAUUUUCUAUUUGUUGUUUGUAUAUGUUAGAAACAUAAUUAUAUGUGUGUUAUUGUAGUAUUCAAUUUAUGUUAGUUUGUUUCUGUUUCAAAUUGACAGAAGUGAUCUACACAGCAACUCUAGCUAUGUUACUUAGAUUUUUCAAAAAUGUCAACGGGUACGUGUUGGAUUCUUCAAAAGUUGUGUAUUUAUUAAGGAACCAACAUGAGCAGUGGCGGAUCCAGGAUUUUCAUUAAGGGGUUCGAAAAAAAGAGAGCAGUGCUUAAGAUUUGAGGUUUGAACCCCUCAACCACUAAACUAACCUCUAAUCUUAUAUUCAGGAGGUUCAAAAUCAAUAUAUAAACAUAAAAAUUCUUUAAAAUACCUUAAAUAUACAACAUAAUUUUUUGCCGAGGGAGUUGGUCCACCCCUGAACAUGGGUGCGACAUCAUCAUAUUUUAGGAGAGUCCGAGCAACAUAGCUCAUUAAUACAACAAAAUUGGAUAAAGCAGUGCAGUAAGCAUAUAGAGUUUGGUUCAUGAUUGAAAUUAGUUGAUAUUAGAAAGUUUAUAUUUGUGAAAAUUGAUGUAGAAGAAUGCUCAAAACUACAGAAGUGGCUAAUAAUUUUGUGGUACUUCAUCUUUCUAGUCAUAAAACAUCCUUAAAAUGUUCUCUAACUCAGUUUCAACUUCUGCAAUUUUUAUUUUGGUAGAUUUUUACAUAUAUUUAUACUUCAUGACGAGUGUUAUGUCUCACGUGAUCCAACAACUAAUUCAUACUGCUUGAUUAUGAAUGAGGAAAUUUUUUUGUUUUUGGGAAAAAUGCUCUCUGGAAUCGGCUCACUGGAAAGAUUCCAAGGGAACUGACAAGACUAAAAUUCCUGGCAGUCUAAAAACUCUGUCUGAAUGUUCUUUUUAGACCGAUUGCAUGCUCCUCGUCCAUUGGAGUCCGAAGAAGAAGAAGAAGAAGAGAGUCGUAUUUUGCUAGUUGUGGAUUAAUUGUUGUAACUGUCAUGUGGCACCUCAUGUUUAAAGAUGGUAAGCUGAACAUGUGAUCCUUCAAUACAAUUAGUCUCUCAGUUUUUUUUGCUUGAGUAUCAUUUUUUUUAUCUUCUUAAUUUGAUCACUAUACCUUUAUCUUGAGUCGAGGGUCUACAGAAACAACAUCUCCACUACUUUGGUUAUUUUCCAUCUCUUCAUAUUUGAACUGUAUCAUAUAGAUGGAAUUUCCCUCAUUAACUUAAUGUUAAAAAUCUUUUGGAAAACAGCACAAGAGACAACUAAUCGGAAAUUUCUCUACAGGUGGAAGGAUCUUCACCAAGUUAUUCAGAACAUACUAAUUAAGCAGGAAAACACAGAUCAAACAAAAUUUUGUAUAAAAUUCCACAAGGAGGAAAUGAAGGACUUAAAUCAUGUCUUUAAUUAUUGUUCAUUUUUUUCCUCACUUGACUUAGUCAAGCAAUAGUUUCUACCAUUUGAAAUUUCUAAGAAGUUCUGCAGAAAUUUUUUCUACAUAAUGGGACCAAUUUCACAUUAUCUUGCGUAACACACUGCAGAGAUAGUUAAUGACUUUGAAAUGAACACAACAUCAAGAGAAAAAUAGGACAUAGAGAGUAUUAUUUUGUUAAGUCUUCUCCGUCCUCUAAAAAGUCUUGUGGAACACUACAAAAUAUGAGUAUCAAGUUGUUAGAAGUGAGUAGUACUCAUCUUGUAAUUCAAUUGUUCAUCAGUCCCGAUUCAUCAUAAUCUUUUUUUUUCCUCUAGUCUUUGUGGAAAUUGGCUUAAAGUCUUACAAGUCAUCGUCCGCUAGUUACAAUACUGUAUCACUUUUUUCCUUAGUUGGAAUGGAAUAUUGAUGGAUUUUCCCUUAUUUACUUAAUGUGAAAAUUAUUGUGUACCUAACAAGUUUGAAAAUAGCAGAAGAGACAACUAAUCACUCACUCGGAUUGACCUUUUCUGAUUGUAUAGAUUUCAUGGAAAAAUUGCACCAAAAUUUAUUUAAUCCUCAAUUGACUUGGUCAUGCAACAGUUUCUCUUUGAAAAGUAUUGUGGAAAACAGAAGAGAUGUUGAUGGAAAGUUGGACAAGGUUGACAUAAAACAGGAGUUCAAAUAACUAUAAAAUAUGUAUGGAUUUUGAAAAAACAGAACAUUCUGUAAUAUGCUGUAAACAAAAAGUAAUUCCCGUGACCAGUUCAGUUCAAGGUUGGUCACGGGAGGGUUGAAUAAAAAUCACUUGAAAGUUGUUAAGGGGGUAUUUAAAUGUUCAUGUAGUUUAAGUCCUAAAGUAAAUUUGGCUAUCAAGUUUGAGGGUGAUUUUAGGAUUUUUCUCAAAAGUUAGCAGUCAAAUUGAAAAAAGUGUUCAAAUUGGGAAAAUAUGUAAAAAUUGUUAUUUUCCAUCUCUUCCUAUUUGAACUGUAUCAUAUAGAUGGAAUUUCCCUCAUUAACUUAAUGUGAAAAGUCUUCAGCACAAGAGACAACUAAUCGGAAAUUUCUCAUAAAAUUUCUCUGCAGGUGGAAUGAUCUUCACCAAGUUAUUCAAAACAUACUAAGCAAGCAGGAAAUGAAGGACUUAAAUCAUGUCUUUAAUUAUUGUUCAGUUUUUUCCUCACUUGACUUAGUCAAGCAAUAGUUUCUACCAUUUGAAAUUUCUAAGAAGUUCUGCAGAAAUUUUUUCUACAUAAUAGGACCAAUUUCACAUCAUCUUGUGUAACACACACUAUAGAGAUAGUUAAUGACUUCGAAAUGAACACAACAUCUAGAGAAAAUGAGGACAUAUGGAGUAUUAUUUUGUUAAGUCUUCUCCGUCCUCUAACAAGUCUUGUGGAACACUACAAAAUAUGAGUAACAAGUUGUUAGAAGUGACUAGUACUCAUUUUUGAUUCAAUUGUUCAUCAGUCCCGAUUCAUCAUAAUCUUUUCCCCCCCUCUAGUCUUUGAGGAAAUUAUCUUAAAGGCUUACAAGUCAUCGUCUGCUAGUUACAGUACCGUAUCCCUUUUUUCCUUAGGUGGAAUGGAAUAUUGAUGGAUUGUCCCUUAUUAACUUAAUGUGAAAAUUAUUGUGUACCUAACAAGUUUGAAAAUAGCAGAAGAGACAACUAAUCACUGACUCGGAAUAUUGACCUUUUAUGAUUGUAUAAAUUCCAUGGAAAAAUUGCAUAAAAAAUUAUUGCAUUCUUUGUGGAAAUUGUCUUAUUAAAGACUUUGGCUUCAAAGAACAAAAUAAAAUUCCACACGGUAUUAUUGUUUUGUUGUUACAUACUCUUAAGUUGAUGUCUUUAAUUAUUCUUCAUUUUUUUUCCUCACUUCAUGACUUAGUCAAGCAAUAGUUUCUCUCAUUGGAAAUUUUUCACAACUUAUGCAGAAAUAUUUUCUACUGUGAGUGUUACGUAACUUGACCAAUUUCACAUCAUCUUGCGUAACACACACCGUAGAGAUAGUCGAUCGAUGAUCUCGAAAUGAACAACAACAUCUAGGGAAAAUGAUGUGUACCAAGUCGUUAGAAGUGACUAGUACUCAUUCAUGGACCAUAUGUGACUGAAAAUUGACUUUACACUUGGGACAACAUUUUUUGCAACCACAAAUUAUUACCCCAUUUAUUUAAUUAUCUAUGUGUUUCUUUUCUUUCGUUAAUUUAUACCUCAAUAGUCCCAUGCAUAGACAAGUCAACAACGUUACUUUAUGAAAUAUUGUUUAGUUAAUUGUUUACUUUAUUUAAUGUGGAGGUUGUUGUAAUAAUUAAGAAAUGGAAUAGUGUUUAGUUACUUAUAGCAUCCUUUCCUACAUGGCUACUUAUUUUAUUGACUUAUUUAUAUCUUGGCAAUUAUCAUGAAUUUUGAUAAUGCAUGUUUUCAUUGAACACGGGUGCAACUUAGAAAGUAGUAUAUAUAUGUGUGGAUAAUACUGAUUGAUUUGUAAGAAGAACACAUCCAUCCUGUUAUUUGCUGAAAACAAACAAACAAAAAAUGGUCAUGAGUCUGUUUUUCUUUCAUUCAUUUCUGUAUUUUGUGUUGCUAAUAAGUAUGUUUUUCUUCUUCCUUUGAUCAUCAUCUUUGCUCUCCCACCGAAGCUUCUGCUUUGCUUCAGUUUAAGCAAUCUUUUGGAGUUGAUUACAACUACUCCAAAUGUUUUACUUCUUUCCCAAAAAGAAAGUCUUGGAAUGAGAGUAGGGAUUGCUGCAGUUGGGAUGGAGUCACUUGUGACUUAUUAAACGGUCAUGUUAUCGGGUUAGACCUUAGUUGUAGUCUGCUUAGUGGAAGUAUUCAUCCCAAUAGCACCCUCUUCCAACUUCAUCAUCUCCAGGCACUAAACCUUGCUUACAAUCACUUCAGCUAUUCUUCAAUCCCACAUAACAUUGGCCGAUUGACAAAUUUGGUUUCGCUUGAUCUUUCUUCUGAUUUUUAUGGACUACAACUUGAUGAGAGAACAUUUGAAACAAUGCUUCAAAACUUGACAAAUCUGGAAGUACUAUCUCUCUUUCUUGUCAACAUCUCAUCUCCGAUGCCUGUGAAUAUUUCUUCCUCUUUAAGGUACCUGGAUCUUCGUUAUACUAAUCUGCGAGGUGUUCUAACAGAGAGCUUUUUCCUUCUGCCAAACAGCUUGGAAACGCUCAAACUGAGUGGGAAUGAUCUUCUCAAAGGAGUUUUUCCAAAGAUCCACCGGAGCAACACUCUGUUAAUGGAGUUGGAUAUUUCAUACACAGGCAUCUCUGGUGAGCUGCCUCAUUCAAUUGGCACCUUUAGUUCAUUGAAAUACUUAAACCUCCAAGGAUGCCAAUUCUCUGGUUCCAUUCCUAAUUCCAUUGACAACCUAACCCAAAUUACGGAGUUGAUUUUAUCUUAUAAUCAUUUCACUGGACAUAUUCCUUCCACAAUCUCUAAAUUGAAGUACCUCACAAAUUUACAUCUUUCUGACAACUCCUUUUCAGGUGAAAUUCCUGAUGUUUUUUCUAAUCUCAAAGAGCUACGUUAUUUAGAUCUUUUUAAUAACAGCUUCAUCGGUCCAUUUCCUGCUUCAAUUUUAAGUUUGACACAUCUUGAAUACUUAGGAUUGUCGAGUAAUUCCCUAUCUGGCCCACUGCCUAGCAAAGCAAGCAUGCUUCAAAAGCUAUCCGAACUGCAUUUGUCUUACAACUCGCUGAAUGGUACCAUACCAUCUUGGGUGUUUAACCUCCCUUUGCUAUCUUCGUCGUGGCUCAAUCAUAAUCAAUUUAGUGGACUAGCCGAUGAGAUCAAAACAAACCCAACAUUAGAAUUCCUGUAUUUAAAUAAUAAUCAACUCAGCGGUUCUUUUCCUCAAUCACUUGUGAAUCUCACAAACCUUUCUACCCUUGACCUUUCAUCAAAUAACAUCACUAUUGAUGAGGGAAUGAAUAUCACCUUUCCUAGCCUUGAAAUUUUGCAGUUAUCAUCUUGUGAACUGAAGGAUUUUCCACACUUGUUGAGAAAUGUAAAGACACUUCAGGUCUUGGAUAUUUCUAACAAUAAGAUUUGUGGUCAAAUCCCUAACUGGUUUAGCGGCAUGAGGAUGGGACUCGUUGCAGCUAUUAAACCUUUCUCAUAAUUCAUUAACAGGCCACCUACCACAAUUUCAUUUCCAUAAUCUAGUGUCUCUUGAUCUGAAAUUUAACUCCCUUCAGGGUCCACUACCUUCAUCCAUUUGUAACAUGAGCAGACUUUUCUUAUUAGAUUUAUCACAUAACUACUUCAGUGACUCAGUUGCACAUUGCUUGGGAAGCAUGGCUAGUCUAACCGUGCUAGACUUGAGAAGGAACAAUUUCAUAGGGAAUCUUCCCCCAUUAUGUGCACAGGGCACUUCAUUGAGUACCAUUGUCGUAAAUGGUAAUCGAUUUGAAGGACCUGUACCUGUGUCGUUGCUCAAGUGUAAUGUUCUAGAAGUCCUUGAUGUGAGGAACAAUGCUAUAAAUGACACAUUUCCAGCUUGGCUCGGAACUCUUCAAGAGCUGCAGGUCCUUAUAUUAACGUCGAACAAGUUCCAUGGACCUAUAAGUACUUGUCAGACUAAGCUUUGCUUUCCCAACUUGCAAAUUUUUUAUCUUUCUCGUAAUGAUUUCAGUGGCUCACUUCCUGCAAAAGUUUUUGGAAACUUCAAGGCAAUGAUCAAAUUAGAUGACGAAGACACAAGAGAGAUCAAGUACAUGGAAUCUAAGUCAAAUUUGUCAUUUGACACAUCUUAUGAGGAUUCAGUGAGUUUGGUAAUCAAAGGGCACGAUAUUGAGCUACAAAGAAUCAGCACAAUUACGACAACCAUAGAUCUCUCAAGCAACCAUUUUGAAGGUGUCAUUCCGGAAACACUAAAGGAUCUCAGCGCACUUUGGCUACUCAAUUUAUCCCACAACAAUCUCAUAGGUCAUAUUCCAAUGGAAUUGGGGCAAUUGAAUACACUUGAAGCUUUAGAUCUCUCCUGGAAUCGGCUCACUGGAAAGAUUCCGCAGGAAUUGACAAGAAUAAACUUUCUAGCAGUCUUAAACCUCUCCCAAAAUCAUCUCGUCGGACCAAUUCCUCAAGGUCCACAAUUCAACACAUUUGGAUAUGACUCAUAUGGUGGCAACCUUGAUUUAUGUGGUCUUCCUUUAUCAAAGCAAUGUGAAACAAGUGAUUCAUCACAUGUUCCUCAACAAGAAGAUGAAGGCGAGUCAUAUUUUUUUAGUGGAUUUACGUGGGAAUCAGUAGUCAUAGGCUACAGUUGUGGUCUAGUUGUUGGAACUUUUCAUGUGGAGUCUCAUGUUUAAAUAUCGUAAGCCAAAAUGGUUUGUGGAAUUUUUUGAUGGACUCAUGCCUCACAAAAGAAGAAGGCCAAAGAAGAGAGCUCAGAGAUGACGGACUUAAUGGAAGAUUGAGAGGGUAACCUUGUCUUUGUUUGAUUUUGUGGACUAAUUAGUGAACUUUUCUGGUUCUGUUUUUGUCUUUUCAAUUUUCUAUUUGUUGUUUGUAUAUGUUUGAUAGAAACAUAAUUAUAUGUGUGUUAUUCAAGUUAUGUUAGUUUGUUUCUGUUUCAAGUUGAUAGAAGUGAUUUACACAGCCACUCAUUAGUUAUGUUACUCAGACUCUUCAAAAAUGUCAACGACUACAUAUUGAAUUCUUCAAAAGUAGAGCAUUUUUUAUGAAACCAACACAAAUGCAACACCAUUUUAUUUUUAGGAGAGUCGGAGCAACAUAGCUCAUCAGCAUAACAAAAACAGGAAAUUGCACAAGCAAAUAGAUCAGUUUGGUUUAUGAUUGAAAUCACUUGAUAUUAGAAAGUUUAUAUUUUUGAAAAUUUAAGUAGAAGAGUACUCAAAACUACAUAAUUUGCUAAUAAUUUUGUGGUUCUGCAUCUUUAGAAUCAUAAAUCACUUAAAAUGUUCUCUAACUCAAUAUCAACUUCCGCAAAUUUAAUUUUAGUAAGUUUUUACAUAUAUUUAUACUUCGUGUACGAAAAAUAAUGUCUCUGGUUGUUCAACAACUAAUUCAUAUUGUUUGAUUAUCAAUGCGGAAAAGGUUUUUUUAAAAGGGCAAAAUGUUCUAUACAAGGAUUUUAGAAGUGACUAGUACUCAUUCAUGGACUACAAGUGACUUUGAGUCUUCCUGGAAAUUGACUUAACACUUAGGACAACCACAAAUUAUUUGUUUGGAUGUGUUUCUUUUCUUUCGCUAAUUUAUACCUCAAUAGUCCCAUGCAUAGACAAGUCAACAACGCUACUUUAUGAAAUACUGUUUGGUUAAUUGUUCACUAUAUUUUAAUGUGGAGGUCGUUGUAAUAAUUAAGAAAUGGAAUAGUGUUUGGUUAAUUAUAGCAUCCUUUCUUCCGUGACUACUUAUUUUAUUGACUUAUUUAUAUGUUGACAAUUAUCAUGAACCCAUAUUAUAUUAUUACUAGGUAAAUUACCCGUGCUUCGCACGGAAUUGAACUAUUUUAUUAAGCUUACAUAUGAUCAUUCGAUAAUAUUCAUAUUUUCGAUACAUACACUACAUUGUCAAGAUCAUUUUAUCUUAAGGCAAAACGUUCCUCCAAAAUCUUAAAGUGCUAUAUUUUUUUAAUUUUCAUUUUUGUUAUACAAAUAUUAUGAGUCAUAGAUAGAUUUUAAGUAUAAGAAAGAAGUCUAAGAAAAUCUCCUUGGAAAUAGUUGGUCAGAAGUAAUGGAAUAUUUUUAAUUCCAAGAAGUUAUAAAGAACAACAUCAGACGUUAAUAAAGAGACCAAAAAAGGUCGAACAACAACACUUCCAAGUAAAGUGGAGUAUCACGUCCAUACAAGAUCAUAAUUAACUAAAUUCAAAUGGACGACCAUGGACUCCUUUCUUAUGAACCUCCAUCAAUCUCUUUUUUAUUAUUGUAUGCCAUAUCAAGUAUAUGCUAAAAAUGACCCUAAAAUUGUUAUUAUCAUAAAUGUUUUUUUGUCAUUGUCUCAAAAUAGUCAUUACUAUUUUAAAGGUUUCAUAUCACCGGCCCCAACUUAUUUGGAUUAAACCAUAGUUAUUGUUAUGGUUAUAGUAUGCAGUUACAAAAAAAUUAAUGCAAUUAUCAGCCAAGCAAUAGGUGACAUCUGAAUGUUCACAACGGGAUAUUCUAAACAAAAAAUUUGACACAUAACAUAUUAAAAUCUCACAACAUAAUUUUGUGAGCACUUGAACUCACAAAUAUCCUAAAAUAAUAAUAAAGACAAUCUUACUUUCCUAACAAUCAAGAAGAAAAAGGCUCGUUGCUUAAUAUAUUUUUCAAAAAGAUAGUCUUUCGGGUUGUAUCCAAGUUCACAGUUCACAAAUUUAGUUGAAAGAAGCCAAAAGAAAGAGUUAUUACUUCUUUAUCAAAAAAAUUUAAAACUUUAUCAAAAGAAUGAGUUAUCACUACAACAAAAAUGAUCUUUAACGAUAAUUAAUAGCUUAAUUAUCGCUAAAUAUGUAUUUUCAGAGGCAAUUGGUACUCUGUAUAAAUGUUCCUAAAGUCUAUAGCAACAUUGAAUCCAAUGACAGUUAAUUCAUGUCGGUAAAGGCUGUAGCACUCUUCGUGAACGUGCAUAUUUAUUGCCGAUAAAAAAUAUUUUUGUUGUAGUGUAUUUUGGACAUUUGUUAGUUUUAAGAAAACUUGAUCUCUUAUUAUGCCCAAAAAGAAGAGAAGAGGAAAUAUGACAAAUUAGUUAACUUGCGAUAAAUGAUGUGGACUAAUUGUCUCUAUACAAAUUUUCUAGGAAUAGUGCAAUGGCAUACAAAAUGUUUGUACCUAAGAAAAAACAAUCAAAAUAAUAUACUAACUGUGGCAAACAAGAGAGAAAUCAUUUUGGUUCUUUUAACAAACUUCAUCAUUGGUUCCGUACUAGUUAUCAGAUUUUUGUUGUUGUGUGCUAUCAAAUAUAGCACAACCCACAAGCAAUUUUCCCAAAAAGUAUAUGAAGAAAAACUGUAGAAAGGGACAAAAGAGAAGAUAAACUUUCAAUCAUCCUCAUUGAAAUUUUGAACAUAAUUAAAAAAAAAGUCACCAAAAUAGCAAAAAGAAAUUGCAAUAGAUACAUGAAUCACUAUGAUUUAUAGUAAAAAAUUAAGCUUCAUGAAAUAGGAGGAAAAAAACUUUGAGAAAUGAAAUGCACUUUAUAAGAAACUUAAUUAAUGUAUUUGAUUUCGAAAAAAAAUACAAAUAAUAGUGGUAGAAAUAAAAGAUUUGUUUACUAAAGAACCAAAUGUAAUGAAUUCAGUCAUCAACCAUUUCAGCAGUGUUAUGAGUUGUGCACUGAGAGAUCCAAGAGCAGUAAUGUCGCAUUGCAAUUGAAAUCAAUUUUCUUUGUUUAUAUGAAGAAACCUGUAGAAAGUGACAAAAGAGAGGAUCAAUUUUCAAUCAUCCCUGCUGAAACUUUAACAGAGUUAAAAAAAAGGUCACCAAAAUAGGAAAAUGAAAUUGCCAUAGUUACAUGAAUCACCAUGACUUACAAUAAAGAUUAAGAUCCAUGAAAACUUUUAGGAAUGAAAAAAAUUCCUAAAAACUUAAUUAAUGUAUUUGAAUUUGACUACCCUAUAGAGGGAAAAAAACCUACAAAUUAUAGUGGCAGGAAAUUCCUCUAUUUAUAGACAACAUAGAGUAGUGUGAACAAAUUUUUAUUGUGCCUUAUCCGAGAUGUCACAACUCUUUGGAAAAGUUACAACCCUUCAGAAAGGUCACAACCUUUCAUAAAAGUCAUAAUUUUUCAUAAAAGUUGCAACUCUUCAUAAAAGUCACAACUUUUCAUAAAAGUCACAGCUUUUAAUGAAAAGGGAAGGCUAGUUUUGGAAAUAAAUAAAAUUUAAAAGGGAAUCCUAGUUUAUGGUGGCGCCACGUAGGCGGGCCUAGGGUUCUCUUUUAUAUAAAUUUUUGAUUUUUGAUAUAUGAUUUUUACGUUUACCUUUUUUAUUCUUCUUUCUAUUUUUAUUCUUUCAUUAUUAAAUAUUCUAAAGUCUAACCUUUUGCAUUAUACAAAAUAUAUUGUUGGGUGUUAAUAAAAAUAUCAAAUUUAUUUUUUGGUGUAUUCUUUAAAUUACAAGCACUACAACAAACACUACAAUAAAAACAACUUGUUGCGGUUUCUGAACCUUUCAUAUAAUUCAUUAACAGGCCACCUACCACAAUUUUAUUUCCAUAAUCUAGGGUAUCUUGAUCUUAAAUUUAACUCCCUUCAGGGGCCACUAUCUUCAUCCAUUUGAAACAUGAGCAUACUUAGACUUGGGGAAAUUGAAUGUGCUUGAAGCAAUGAUUAAAUUAGAUGACGGAGACAAAGGUGAGAUCAAAUAUAUGGAACAAUUGAGUGAAUAUUCAAUGUAUGAAGAUUCAGUGAGUUUGGUGAUCAAAGGCCAUGAUACUGAGCUAGAAAAAAUCAACACAAUUAUGACAACCAUAGAUCUCUCAAGCAACCAUUUUGAAGGUGUCAUUCCAAAAAUACUAAAGGAUCUUGGCUCACUUCGGUUACUCAAUUUAUCACGUAACAAUCUCAAAGGUGAUAUUCCAAUGGAACUGGGGCAAUUGAAUGUGCUUGAAGCAAUGGAUCUGUCCUGGAAUCGGCUCACUGGAAAUAUUCCUACUGAAUUGACAAGACUAAAAUUUCUAGCAGUCUUAAACCUCUCUCAGAAUGUUCUUGUCGGUCCAAUUCCUCAAGGUCUACAAUUCAACACAUUUGGAAAUGACUCGUAUGGUGGCAACCUUGAUUUAUGUGGUCUUCCUUUAUCAAAGAAAUGUGGAACGAGUGGUUCAUCACAUGUUCCUCAACCAUCGGAGUCGUAUUUCUUUAGUGGAUUUACGUGGGAAUCAAGGCUACAGUUGUGGACUAGUUGUUGGAACUGUCAUGUGGAGCCUCAUGUUUAAAUAUCGUAAUCCAAAAUGGUUUGUGGAAUUUUUUGAUAGACUCAUGCCUCACAAAAGAAGAAGGCCAAAGAAGAGAGCUCAGAGACGACGGAUUUAAUGGAAGAUUGAGAGGGCCAACUUGUCUUUGUUUGAUUUUGUGGACUAGUUAGUGAACUUUUCUGGUUCUGUUUUUGUCUUUCUGUUUGUUGUUUUGUAUAUGUUUGAAAGAAACAUAAUUAUUAUAUGUGUGGUAUUUUAGUAUCAAUGGUUAUUCAAGUUAAGUCUAUUUCUGUUUCAAGUUGACAGAAGUGAUCUACACAGCCACUCAUUAGCUAUGUUACUUAGACUCUUCAAAAAUGUCAAUGGGUACGUGUUGGAUUCUUCAAAAGUAAUGCAAUUUUUAAGGAAUCAACAUGGGUGUCAUUAUAUUUUAGGAUAGUCGAAGCAACAUAACUCAUCUUUCUUAACAUUUUCUGUUUCUGUAUUUAUUUCUUUUAAAGAUCAUUGCUUUGAUCUUAAUGGCUUUCAACCCAUAUUAGGAACACUUGAAAUGGCUGAACUCAUACACACAGAGGAUAGAAACUAUUCAGCUGUUGACUGAAGUGAUCCACUUAUUAGUACAACAAAACAGGAAAAGGCUACAUCCACCUCUGGGGCUCAUGUUGUUCUGUUUCUUCAAAUGCAAAACACUCUCUAUCAGGAUUUUCUUUAUUUUCAAGGUUCGAAUCCGAAACCCUUGGUUCAAUUUUACCUGGAACCAUGCAUUUAGCAUAACUAUAUGUCCUAUUGCAUUAUAGUUAUUAUACAAAGUGGAAAAGUUCAAGGGAUAAUAACACCAUCUCAAAAGUCGGGUGUGUAACUGAAAAUCUAAAUCAACUUUAGGGGUAUACUUAGGGCUGUUCAAAACUGAACCAUAACCGAUAAGUCAAUCGCAAAAUUGACUUAUUGGUAUUGGAUUAUCGGAUUAACGGUUGGUCAACGGAUUAAAAUUUUAUAGUUAAUGGUGCGGGGCGGAUUACUCAAUGGUGCGGGCCGGAUCACUCAAUUUCCUUCUAGGGUAAACCAUUAACCUUUUAAAAAUUAUCGUAGUUAGGAUAUUUAUUAAGUAAAUACUAAUGCGCUUGCACCCUCAAAAUUUAGUUCACAUGUGUUGUCACGCCCUGAGCCUACACCCUGGACGUGGCGGGCACUCGAAGACCAUUGCUGGUCCCAAGCGAACUGUUGGCCUAGUUUACUUGACUCAGCGGAAGACUUAAACUAAACAAAGAUAAGUUCAUAUAAUAAAUUGGAAUGUUAUAAAGGAACAUUCAACUGGACAUUAAGGCAAACUCAAGUCUGAACAUGGAGUAAUGACAAUGAAAAAACUAAAAACUAACAUCUGACUGUCUAUGAAGCCUCUAAUAACAACUGAGAUGGAUGUUGGGAUAGACCCCACAACAUCCUAAUAAACUAAACUGGAAAGCAAUGAAAUGGAUCCUCCGGAAAGCAAGGAGGCUCACCAACAGACUCUGGACUGCUCACUGGAUCAACGAUGCGUCAGGAUGCCGAUCCUAGUUACCUGUGUUUGCAUCAUAAUACGAUGCAGACCAACUGACAUCAGUACAUUGAGUGUACGAGUAUGCGAGUUGGAAUGCUAAAACAACAUAGACUAGAAAGAAUCUGAGAGAAACUGAAGAACUUACAUGACUCAACUCAACAUGACUGAACUCAUUUCAUUAUAAAUCAGUUUAAAAGCAAGUGCAAUAUAAAGAAAAGUUGUUUAAAAACAUGAUAUUAACUCUGUGUGUAUGCAAGAUACAAAUAACUCUGAGAUGUAUUUAAAAAUACAAUAAACUGAUGUAUAUAAAAAUACAAUAACUUCUGUGGGAGUUUCUCUAACCGACAACCACCACUUAUGAAACUAAGUGGUGAUACAACGUUUUACCUCACGUUACCCAAGGACCAUCNNNNNNNNNNNNNNNNNNNNNNNNNNNNNNNNNNNNNNNNNNNNNNNNNNNNNNNNNNNNNNNNNNNNNNNNNNNNNNNNNNNNNNNNNNNNNNNNNNNNNNNNNNNNNNNNNNNNNNNNNNNNNNNNNNNNNNNNNNNNNNNNNNNNNNNNNNNNNNNNNNNNNNNNNNNNNNNNNNNNNNNNNNNNNNNNNNNNNNNNNNNNNNNNNNNNNNNNNNNNNNNNNNNNNNNNNNNNNNNNNNNNNUUAUCCCGGGAUUAACUUACCUUAUCCCGGGAUUAACUUACCUUAUCCAUUACACCAAACGACCCCUAAGUCUUAAAACAAAGUUAAAAGCCUUUGCAAAAGACUUCUUGAAAAGACUCUAAGAAUUUCUUAGACUUGGCUCUUGACUUUCCUUGAAUUUAAAUUUAGGAAUUCAAGGUUAUGGUUUAUGUUUCUGGAUGAUUUCUAGACGUUUAGAAGUCAUUUAGAGUAGUUAGAAUCAAUGGAAAGUGUUAGUACACUUUAGAAGAACUUAAAUAGGCUAGACGACGGAAAACUGACGAAAAACGACGAUUUGGGCGCAUCCCGGGCGCGCUGCGCCAGCCCCAACUUACUGGGGCUCAAAUCUGGCGCACUGUUGGCGCGCUGCCCCAUCCCCUCGGGCGCAUCUGGGGCGCGUUGCGCCAGCCUCCCUUCAAGCAAAAUUCUAACGAACUUUUGCUCUCGUUUUCUGAUCCUAAAUCGUUUUAAUCUAAUUCUUUUUCUCAAUUUCACUUUAGAUUUAUGUACCCAAAUCAUAUACACAAGGAUCUAACUCAAGGAACUCAAGAACUAACAACUUAGUCAUCAAGAACUCCUAAAACUCAACUCAUGUUCAAGAACAAAAGUAAUUCAAGAACCACAUUCAAUAACAUUCAAAAUCCAAUCUUUUUGAAAUGAAAUCGCUGAAUCAAACAUGCUUGGCACGUGGGUAAACGAACCCAACAUUGAGAUAGACUCACAUACCUUAAUUGAUUGAAUCCUCGGCCAAAUUCGCAAGCAAUUCCUUACGACGACAACGAAUCUAGCUUUUUCCUCCUUUGUCUUUUCUUGCGUUCUUCCUCCAAAACCCUAGUUCUAUUUGGUAAAUGUCUAAACUGAUUUAAUUCAGCUUAGACCCCUAAUUAAUUACCAAAAAUGAAUUAAAAUAAAAGGGUAAGGAAAAGACCAAACUACCCUUUAAAAUCCGGAUUGGACAUUUCCUUAAUCCAACAACCCAACUUCCAAAGGGAAUAUCUCACUCAUAUGAACUCGUAAUCGUGCAAACUUGGCGGCGUUGGAAAGAUAAUUCCAAGAGCUUUACAAUUAUACCUGGAAGUACACCUAACUCAUCUUGAUCUAGGAGUUAUCUCCGUUUGAAGUUGGCCCAAAAAUCAACUUUUCUUAACUUAAACAAAUUUUCCAGAUUUUUGUUAUUUCCAAAAAAAAUGACUAUUUCAACUUCUUAGCUUCUUCCUAGUUAUUUCAAUUUGUGAGAUGUUACAUGUGUCUCACUGUGAUUUACAAUUACUGAAUUACCAGCUUAAGUAGGGCUAGAAAAAAAUGUUUUGUUUGAUGGGAGAUCAAUCUAAUUGUGAUUGAAAGUGAAAGAAGGGAGCACGGAAUGUUGGAGCCAAUACACCAACCGAUAACCAUCCAUUAAUUCCUAACCCGAUACCGAGUCAACCGAUAGCUUAUCCAUUGGCUAGCAGAUUAAUUUCUUUCUCGUGUUUGUAAUUUUAUCUUGUUUUAUUUUUUCUUUCACUUAGACUCCAUAUUUAUUUAUUAAGAAAUUAAUUAAAUAUAUAAUUAUGAAUUUGGUAAUUAGAAUGAGUUGUGAGAGUUAAACGAUAAAUUCAAAAUUUAUAGAAAUCAAAUUUUGGCUCCAUUUCUGAAAGGUGAGGUAAAGAUAGGGCUUGGAGUUUAUGAAAUCUAGAUUUUAGAAAAAGACCGCACCUUAAUAGGCUUUUGAUAGAUUAUUUGAAAAUUUUAAAUAUUAAUAUAUGAUUUGAGCUGAAGUUACUAAACACUUUUCGAACCCAAGCUAUACUUCUUUCUCAGGGUAUACCCUCCACAACUUCACUCUUAAUCAUAUAUUUUGACUUUGAAUCAUUCUAGUACUAGAAUAAGGAUAAUCAGCUAGGCAAUUAAGCAACACUUUCUGGCAUGGUGGUACAACUGCCAACAACUAGAAACAUUUUUCAUAUUUCUUAAAUUCAAUCAAUGUAGUAACUUGUAAACUUAAGUUUCAUAGUUAAGAUAUGGUAAAAAAAAUAAAAAUAAUAUCUCUUUUAUUGAGUAAGGUAUAAUCUACAGAAAUUUUUAUGGGCCUCAAAAAUGGGCUGCUCCUUUUAAACAUGGGAUGGGCUUCUCUUCUCUUAAUGGGCCUUAUGCUGCACGAGCCUGUAUUAGUUGGAGCUCCGAAACAGGAAUAGAACACCGGGUUAAGGAUUUGAAAAUUAUCUUUCCAAAUGACAUUCAAGCUAGGUGCUCUAAUAUAUUUUACUCGCUUUCCUUAACUUCCUUGAUUUAUCUUUAUCUAUACUGACAGUGUAAAACUUAUCACUUAUAAUAGUUAACACGUUAUUUUCCUGAUUUCAAAUUAUUAAUCUCAUGAAGUUUCACUUAUAGUUACUUUUAGAUGACUUGAUAGUGAAAAAAAAUAUUCUUUGAAACUUUGUUUCAAAUUGUCUAGCAUACAAUUAUCCCAGAACAAUGUAGGGGCGGAUCUAGUGAAGCAGCUACGAGUUCAUUCGAACCAAGUAGCUUUGCUUAAGACUCUUUAUAUAUGUUAAAAAAUGAAUUACAUAUUUUUCAACCUUUCAAAAUAAAUGGUACUUGUAUUGUUACCAUGUAGUACCUAAGUGUAAUGGUUACGCAUAAUUUGUAAAUUUUGUAAUGAAGGGUCUAUCGGAAACAACCUCUCUUCUCUACCUCCACAAGUUAUGAUAAGGUCUGCAUACACACUACCCUCCUCCUCAGACCGCACUUGUGGGAUUACAUUGAGUAUGUUGUUGUUUGUUCAUUUAGUUGUUGUGAAAAACUAUAAGAUAGUACCAUUUUUUGUUGUGUGUUACACAUGAUUCAGUCCUUAAGACAGCAAAGCUGGUCUUCUGUAGGAGAUAUUUGUCUCAAGUUCACAUUUGAUAUGUGUUACACAUGGUUCUAUAUAUGUGGAUAGGAAAAAUCUAUGUAGGAGAUAUUUGUCUUAAAUAACAUCACCAUUGAUGCUGGAAUACAAAUCACUUUCCCUAGCCUAGAAGUUUUGCAGUUUUCUUGUAAACUGAAGGAUUUUUCACACUUGUUGAGAAAUGUAAAGACAUUUGUGUACUUGGAUAUUUCUGCUCCCAAUUGCACACGCAAAUGUAUGUGGUCGCGGAAGAAAUAUAGUGACUCUUAACAGAAUCGGAUUAUAUAUCGAACCCAAAAGACUUGUCAAUUAACUAUUUUACUAAAUUAUACUGGUCUAAUUAUUUAUUUAAGAGUGCCAAAAGAAUUGACUUUUAUUUAAAUACUAAGAAUGCAAGAAUUAAAUAAUAAAAUUACUUACAAUGGUUGGAAAAUUUCAGGGCCGCAACAUGCAUAGGGUUCAUGUAUCACAUCUCAUGCAUGAAUUAACUACAGUUAUCAAAUUACUGAUUUACACGGUUGAUUUUAUGAUCGAUCAUGGUCUUCCGACCUCUAAUCGUCUACUCAAUUUAGUUGUUUAACUACAUCGUUGAGUGAGGAUAGACAGUCCUAAUUGACGAGCAUUUAUAUUUCCUCAUGUUUUGUGACCAAGCUAGGUGUUCGUCUGAGCGUCAUUCCUAAACACAAAUCAACUCAAUUUAAUGGAAGAUCAACCUUUUUGUAUCCAUUGGUCUAUCUACCUUAGUGUCUCCUGAUUUUAAGAGUAGACAAUAGAUUUAUCUCUAUGAUGGCCAGUCAAGAAAUACUAAAACAAGAAUACAAAAGUAAUUUAAGCGAUAAUCGAUGUUCAACACUUACACAUAGCUACAACCCUAGAACAAGGGCCUUUAACUACUAAUGUCUAAGAAAAUAUAUAGAAGCCUAAAAAGUAUUGACAACUUUAUAGUUAUACCUAUGAUUCAUCUCCCCCAAUAAUUAUUUCUAUGAACUAUUUAUAGAUAUAGAAAAUUCCAAAUAAAAUAACUGAGUCCAAAACAAAUCGGAAAAUCAAAACCAAACGGAAUUUGACUUCCACGUCAACAAUGGUCGUCCAACUGCCUCAAUUCUCUUUGCUGCCUUCAGAAUCAGCCACGUGGCAACUAAUGUAGGUAAACUUCAUUAAUUUCCUUUCUUUGUACGUUUGAAUGAAUAUUAAGUUGUCUGCUUGAUUUUCUUCUAUAAUCUUUCAUCUUUAAUUCGUUUUAGGUCCAAAUUUUUUCAUCUUCACACCAAUUUAAUCUUAUAAAUAAAAUACACUACUUAGCAUAAUUCAUAAAAUUCAUGCUAAAAAAGGACAAAUAUAUAUAAUAAAUGUAAGGUAAAUAAUGAUUAAAAUAUAUAUUUUUAGCCUCAUAUCAAUAAGAUUCGUGGUCAAAUCCCUAACUGGUUUAAUGGCAUGAGGUGGGGUUCGUAAACCUUUCACAUAAUUCAUUAACAGGCCACCUACCAAAAUUUCAUUACCAUAAUGUAGAGUAUCUUGAUCUUAAAUUUAACUCCCUUCGGGGUCCACUACCUUCAUCCAUAUGUAACCUAAUAUAUAUUCCUUUAACAAUCUGUACAUUGAAGCAACUCACACUUUUAGAUCUUUGGAGGAGAAAUUCCUGCAUUUGAAAGUUCGAUUUUUUUGUGUUUGCCGUAGCAGUGGACUUAUAGGCCUAUUCAUCCUUGUAAUGAAAAUUGAACAUGAAUGAAAAUAAAAACCAAAUGAAAGAAAAAAAAUAUGGAGUAUAUAUUAUUUUGUUAGGUCUUCUUCGUCCUCUAACAAACACUACAAAAUAUGAGUAAUAAGUUGUUAGAAGUGAGUAGUACUCAUCUAUGGACCACAAGUUGCGUACCAUUUAUGAUUGUAUAGAUUCCAUGGAAAAAUUGCAUAGAAAUUUAAUGCAUUUGUACAACUUGGUUUCCUCUAUUCCGAAUGUACAAUAAUUGUUCUCACAAUUGGUUCAAUGACGCGUUUUGACCUUUUAUGAUUAUAUAGAUUCCGUGGAAAAAUUGUACUAAAAUUUAUUGCAUUCAUACAACUUGGUUUCACUUGAUUAAAGGGACCAAUUUCACAUCAUCUUGCUUAACACAUACUGCAGAGAUAGUCGAUCUAUGACCUCGAAAUGAACAACAACAUCUAGAGAAAAUGAGGACAUAGUGAGUAUUAUAUUGUUAAGUCUUCUUCGUGCUCUAAAAAAUCUCGUGAAACACUACAAAAUAUGUGUAACAUGUUGUUAUAAGUGACUAGUACUUAUUCAUGAAGUACAGGUGACUUUGAGUCUUCCUGGAAAUUGACUUUAACACUUAGGAUGUGUUUCUUUUCUUUCGUUAAUUUGUACCUCAUAGUCCCAUGCAUAGACAAGUCAGCAAUGCUACUUUAUGAAAUAUCGUUUAGUUAAUUAAUUGUUCACAUUAUUUAAUGUGGAGGUCGUUAUAACAAUUAAGAGAUGAAAUGGUGUUUAGUUAAUUAUAUCAUCAUUUCUUACGUGACUACUUAUUUUAUUAACUUAUUUAUAUCUGGGCAAUUAUCAUGAACCCGCAUUAUUAUUUUUACGUUUAUCUUUUUUAUUCUUUCAUUAUUAAAUACUCUAAAGUCUAUCAAACGGUAAAACCUUUUGAAUUAUACAAACAAUAUUGUUGGGUGUUAAUAAAAAGAUCAAUCUGUUUUUUGGUGUAUUCUUUAAAUUACAAGCACUAUAACAAAAACAACUUUUAGCUCAAAAGUCACUUAACUAUGAAUUCUUUUCUCAAAAAGUCACUCAACAUUGAAUUUUAACACAAAUAUCACUCAAUUAUGAGUGGUUUACUUACAAAGUCACUCAAUUAUGAUUGUUUUACUUACAAAGUCUGUUAACAUAUUUAAUUGUUUUUUUAAUUAAAAUUUGUUGGUAUAAUUUUCUUAUUUAAAAUUAAUAUUUUAAAAAAAAGUAAUAUCCAUUAAAUAAUUUAAUGAUCUGCCCCGCUAAAAAUAUAAUAUUGAUUUUUUUUUUAAUUGGAAUUCAAGAAUAAUACGGGAAUAAAUUAUUCCAUGCAUCAGAAUUCUAAGCAUUAUGAGGAAUAAAUUAAUUUCCUCUUCAUCCCCUCCCCCUUUCUCAGUUGCUGCCUCUUCUUCCUCUUUUAGUUUUUUUAAUUGGAAUUCAAAAAUAAUACUGGAAUAAUUUCAUGCAUCAGAAUUCCUAAAGCAGAGGAGAAAGAAUCCGACAAUAAUUUAGGAGAAUUAGCGGUAAAAUAAAAUGGGUCAAUAUUAUAUUUUUAGGAGGUCAUUCAUUAAAUGAUUUAAAUGAAUAUUUUUUUAUUUUUUAAAAUAUUGCUUUUAAUAAAAUUUUAUACCAGCAAAUUUAAUUAAAAAAUUAACUAAAUAGGUCAAAUGACUUUGUAAGUAAAAUACUUAUAGUUGAGUGACUUUGUAAGUAAAACACUCAUCAUUGAGUGACCUUUUAGUUAAAAUUCAAGUUGAGUGACUUUCUGAGAAAAGAAGUCAUAGUUGAGUGACUUUCUGAGAAAAAAAAUUCAUAGUUGAGUGACUUUCUGAGAGAGUAGUGCAUAACUGAGUGACAAUAUUAUAUUACGUGGUUUUGAGUAAGUUUUAUUAUUCUAACUUUAUAUUAUAUAUUUUUUCAUUGAAAAUUUUCGUUGUUUGUAUUCUUACUUCAUAAUGGUCUAUGACUUUGUGUACAUCCUACCUUCUUGAAACUUUACUUGUAGGAUUACAUUAAUCAGUAUGUUAUAAGUAUUCAAUUUAUGUUCGAGUAAUCAACACCAAAUAUUUGGGCAUAUCCCUUGACAACAAGCCUAGCCUUGUAUUUAUUGAUAGAACCAUCAGAAUUGAGCUUGGUUCUAAACACCCAUUUUACUCCAAUGACCUUCAUAUCUUUCAGUCGGUCGACUAACUCCCAAGUUUUGUUUUUCUUGAUCAUUAGCAUCUCCUGCUCCAUUGGCGUUUUCUCCAUUUUUUAUCUUGAAGUGCUUCAUCGUGCCCUGCAGGCUCACAAACUGCCACAUUACUUUGUUGGUAGAUGUCAGAGAGUAGUCUUGUACCUCUAAUUGGAAGAUCAUCCACCAACUCAUUUUUCCAGUGAUCCGAUGCCUGCUCCUCUGAAGCUUUGACUGAAAGUUGAUUGUCCUUCCAGUCCCAUUUCUCUUCAUCAACAAAGUGCACAUCUCUACUGACAAUCAUCUUCCCUGUUUGUGGAUUAUAUACUUUGUAGGCCUUGGAGGAUGAGCUACAACCCACAAAUAUUCCAGGAAGUGCCUUCUUGUCAAGUUUGUCUCUUUUAACCUGUGGCACAUGGAAGAAACAAACACAACCAAAUACUUUAGUGAAGCUUAGUGAUGGUUUGUAUCCAUUCCAAGCCUCAAAUGGAGUUUUAUUCAACAAUGCUUUAGUAGGAAGCUGAUUUUGGAGAAAUAUUGCCGUAUUAGCUGCCUCAGUCCAAAAACUUUUCGGCAACUCUUUUUCAUGCAACAUGCACCGCGACAUCUCCAUUAUAUAUCUGUUUCUCUUUUCACUAACUCCAUUUUGUUGCGGAGUAUAUGGAGCAGUAAGCUGAUGAGUAAUACCCGCUUUCUCACAAAAUUUGUUAAAUUGUUCAAAAUUAUACUCUUUUCCAUUGUCAGACCACAGAGAUUGGAUUCUGCAACCACUUUGAUUUUCCACCAUCUUCUUGAACUUCAAGAAAAUUCCAGCCACUUCUGAUUUAUAUUUCAUAAAAAAAAUCCAGCAGAAUCUUGUAUAGUCGUCAAUGAAUAUAACGUAGUAUAGACUACCAUUAAGGGAUGGUGUUCUUUGAGGUCCUGCAACAUCUGUGUGAAUCAGUUGCAACCUUUGAGAAGUCCGCCAUGUUGCUUUAGGAAAUGACUUCUUAUUCUGCUUACCAAAUUGACAAGCUUGACAACUUGGUAAGUGAUCAACUAGAGUUGGUAGUCCUCUUGUCAUAUCUUCCUUCUCCAGCAACAAUAGUGCUUGUAGAUGGCAAUGGCCAAGUCUCUUGUGCCAGGUUUCCGUUACACUUGCCUUCAUGGAAUAAGCUAGUCACUCUUUCUCUGUUGGAUCAAAGGAAAAAAUCCUUCCUCUCAUCUUCACCCUGAAAAUUUCAUUUCCAGUAGUGUCACUGAUUUGACAGUGAUGAUCUUCGAAGAAAACCUUGAAUUCUUUUUCCAUCAGAUGUCCUACGCUUAGCAAAUUCUGAUCAAUUUCAAGAACAUACAGAACCUCUGAAAUUUUCUUUGUGCCAGUGCUCGUCUUGAUAGCUAUGGUUCCAAUUCCUUUGACAGGAAGGUGAUCUCCAGUUCCUAUCCAAACCUUCGAAAUUUCAGUGGGCUUCAACUCCUUGAAUAAACUCUCGUCAUGAGUCAUGUGGUUAGUGCAACCUGUAGUAUCCGGAAAUUUGAAAAUAGCUAUGACGAGGCUGAGAAUUGGAAAUAGUCACUUUUUGGAAAGAAUUCAAAUCUGGAAAUUUGGUUAAGUGUGGGAAAAAAAUGAGUUUUUGGCCAACUUUGAACAGUCAUAACUCCUAGAUCAGGAUAAGUUAGGUGUAGUUCCAGUUAUUUUUGCGAAGCCCUUGGAAUGAUCUUUCCAACACUGCCGAGUUUGCUCGAUUCCGAGUUUGUAUGAGUGAGUUAUGCCCUUUGGAAGUUGGGUUGUUGGUAUAGGAAAGUUCACCCGAAAUUGUAAGGGUAUUUUGGUCUUUUCCCUAACCAAUUCUUUUGGUUAUAUUAGUGUGUUAGACUGAUUUUGGAUUAGUUUUUCCCAUUUUAAAGAGUAAGAGAGAGGGUUUGUGAGUGAAGAGGAGAAGAAGAGGAGAAAGAGGGGAUCAAGCAAGGAUUCAUCAAAGAUCGUCGUGGAUAUCGUCGGGGGUGAUCCCUACUAGGUAUGUGAGUUCAUAGUGUUGGGUUGGUUCUUUCCCCCACACGCCAAUCUCGUUUUAAUUUCGAGAAAAGAUUGAUUGUGUUUGUUGAAGUUGUUGGUUGUGAUUGUGUUGAAGUUCUUGUUGAUUUGGGCAUGUUUUCGGUUGUGUUUCUGGGUUAAAUAUAUUGUAUGUUGAGGGGUUUUAUGAUAUUAAGUGUUUGGGGCUGGAAACUUUGAAGUUGGGAAGGUUUAGAAUUGGAAAAACAAGGAAGAAAAGUCGAAUUUUCGAGGGAAAAGGGGUGGGCCAUCGCGCCUGCCAGCGCGCCCCAAAAGGGGUUCUGAACUUUCCCCCUUGGGGCGGCGCACCUAGCAGCGCGCCAGCAGGCCCCUCUGAAGUUUUAGGGCUGGCGCCCCGCGCCUCUCAGAGCAACAAGGACGCCAACCUUUCCCAUUCAUUCCCCACAUUUUCAUGCAUGUUCCUUAGUAUUGUACUUAUGUUUCAUAGUUGUUUCCAACACUCCAAGGUACGUCUAAACGUCAAGAACUCAUCGAUAAACAUGUGAUCAUAUACCUUGAAUCCAUAAUCCAAUUCAAGGCGAGUUAGGAUCAAGUCAAAGUGAAGUUAAGGGUCAAGUCUAGAAGUUAAGAAGCAAGUCAAAGCAAGUUUUCAAAGGUGUUCAAGAGUCUUUAUUGAACGUUCUAACUUCAUUUUAAGGCUCAAGUUUCAAGUCAAGUAAAGAGUAUAGAGCUUCAAGCUAAGUAAAGAGUCUCAGGUUUCAAGUUAAGUCAAGAGUAUAAAGUUGAGUUCAUUUCUCAAAAACUAUUAGGGACCUAAGUAUUCCCAAAGACGUUUAUAAAUGUUUUUACAUUUGAGUAAGAAGGGAACCAUGUUCUCCAAAAAGAGCCUUUGGGCUAAGUUUGAGUAAUUAUCUCAACUAAAGAAAGAUUUGUUUAAAACACUUAUGAGCUAAAAUAUAUUUUUGGGAGUAGUCUUGAGCACCGAGUUGGGGACAUGAGUUCAUAUUAACUCAACUCUCCAUAAGAACCAUGUGGCCAACAUGGGAUUUAACGGGUCAUACUUUUUAGAUAAUCACGUAAGUUAAGCUAGUGGAUCCACUUAGUAAAGUUAGCUUCCUAUAUCACGGCAAGGUAUAGGAUGGGCCUCGGCAGUGCGAGGUAAAGCGCUGUAUCAUCACUAUAGUUCUUAAAUGAUGGUUGUCGGAUAGAGAAACUCCCACAGCAGUAGAAAGUGCUUGGUUCCUCGAGGAGUUCUGCUUAGUAUGAAUGGGGGUAUGGGACUUCAUUCAUACAUUGCACAAGUAGACCUUGAGAGGAAGCAUGGUAUUUUCAUGAUAUUAAAAAUAUGAUUUUUACGUCAUGUUUUAAGAGUUUUACAAGCUUUAUAUAUUGCAUGUGUCUUAUUGCUUUAUAUAUUGAGUUCAGUUAUUCAUGAGUCCUCCUUGCUUUCCAUAGGACUCGGUUAUUUUGUGUUCUUAGUUUUGUUUUAUUAGGGUGUUGCGGGGUCUGUCCCAACAUCCAUCUCAGUAUUUUUAGAGGCUUCACAGACAGUCAGUCAGUAAGUUUUGAGUCUCUCAUCUAUGUAUAUAUAUAAUAUUCUAUUUUGAGACGCGAGUUGCUUUUUUGGCUAGCUUUUGUCAGUUAGGUUGUUUUAUGACCUUUCAUUGCAUUGAGUUAUGCUGUUGAGUUAAGUUUCUGUUGAGUUAAGAAAAGCCAGGCCAAGGGUUCGCUUGGGGGCCAACAAUGGUGUUCGAGUGCCGGCCACGUCCAGGGUGUAGGUUCGGGGCGUGACACAACCACUGUCAACUAACCAAGAAUCUGUUGAGCUCUUACUUGAAAAGCAUGUUGCAAUAAAAGGAUGAUCUUCUUCUUCUUGAUCAACAACUUGAGCAUUUCCUUCCUCCUGCGGGGCCUAAUUCUUGCAAAUCACUGCUUCGUGUCCAAGCUUAUUGCAUUUCUUACAUUUAGCAUCAAGUCUCUUCCAACACUUGAAUGGUGCAUGGCCUUUUCUUCCACAAUGGUGACAAGGGGGAUAACUUUUUUUCGCACUUCCUCCCUUAGUUUUGUUGUUGGCUGAUGUUUCUCCUUCACACACUGCUUGAUUCUUUUUCUUCUUCUGAAUUUUGUUAACCUGAUGCUUACUGACAAGUGCCCCUUCUGUUGUAACCUCCUGUCUCAUGAGUCUUCUUUGCUCUUGAGCUUUCAGGGAAUUGAGCAACUCUGUCAAACUAAUCUUUGACAAAUCCUUAGUAUUUUAUAAGGUUGUAAUUGUUGCUUCAUACCUUUCAGGAACUGUUACAAGGAUCUUCUCAACAAUUCUCGAGUCUGAAAAUGUAGAGCCGAGUAGCCUCACCUUUUUUGCAAUAUUUAGAAGUCUAUCCGAAUAUUCCUUCACUGUUUCAGAUUCCUUCAUUUUUUGCAAUUCAAACUCCCUAAUUAAGUUUAAAACUUGCAUACCUUUUAUUCUCUCAUCUCCAGAAUACUCUUCCUUAAGAUAAUCCCAUACUUCUUUAGCAGUUUUCAGAGACAUUAUUCGCGUGAAAACUAUUGACGAUACAACAGCAAAUAAACAUGCCUUGGCCUUCGAUUUCUUUGUCUUCUGUUCCUUGUGUGCUUUAAUCUGAGCAAUGGUAGGAUUAUUUGGUAGGGCUGGAAUAUCGUAAUCCUCUUCCACAGCUUCCCAGAGAUCCAAAGCAUCCAAGUACGUCUCCAUUCAUACUGCCCAAAUCUGAUAAUUAUCUCCAUCAAAGACCGGCGGAGCAAUUGGUGAGAAACUUGCUUCAGCAUCCAUGGCUACUCCAACUCGAUCACAAAUCCCUUAAGAUGAAAGCUCUGAUACCAACUGUUUUUAGUAAGACUAAUGACAGAUAACACAAUGAAGACAAUGUCUAGUUUGCUACAGAAAGGAAAGCAGGAGAAUACAAGGAAUUUAAAUGUGAAGAUAACUAAGAGAAAAGCUUAUGCAGAAAGUUGUAUUUCAGUAAAAUCAACCAAAAAUACAUAAACAUACAAUUAAGUAACUGAUAUAGAUCAUGGUCCUACUUUUAAGUCAUGGUACUAACCAUGGUAACUACCCCUAAAAUAACUGAAAAAAGAAAUACAGGAAACUUAGAAAUAGAUCCUGCAGUCCUAAAGCAACUAACUAAUAGUCGUAAAUGGUAAUCGAUUUGAAGGACCUGUCCCUGUGUCGUUGCUCAAAUGUCAUAAUUUAGAAGUUCUUGAUGUGGGGAACAAUGCUAUAAAUGACACGUUUCCAUCUUGGCUUGAAAUUCUUCAAGAGCUGCAGGUCCUUAUAUUAAAGUCGAACAAGUUCCAUGGACCUAUAAGUACGUGUCAAACUAAGUUUUGCUUUCCCAAGUUGCGAAUUUUUUAUUUUUCUCGUAAUGAUUUCAGUGGCUCACUUCCUGCAAAAGUUUUUGGAAACUUCAAGGCAAUGAUCAAAUUAGAUGACGAAGACACAAGAGAGAUCAGGUACAUGGAAUCUAUGUCGAAUUUGUCAUCUAUCGCAUCGUAUGAGGAAUCAGUGAGUUUGGUAAUCAAAGGGCACGUUAUUGAGCUACAAAGAAUCAGCACAAUUAUGACAACCAUAGAUCUCUCAAGCAACCAUUUUGAAGGUGUCAUUCCGGAAACACUAAAAGAUCUCAGCUCACUUUGGCUACUCAAUUUAUCCCAUAACAAUCUCAUAGGUCAUAUUCCAAUGGAAUUGGGGCAAUUGAAUACACUUGAAGCUUUAGAUCUCUCCUGGAAUUGGCUCACUGGAAAGAUUCCGCAGGAAUUAACAAGAAUGAACUUUCUGGCCUUCUUAAACAUCUCUCAAAAUCAUCUCGUCGGACCAAUUCCUCACAGUCUACAGUUCAACACAUUUGAAAAUGACUCGUAUGGCGGCAACCUUGAUUUAUGUGGUCCUCCUUUAUCAAAACAAUGUGGAACGAGAGAUUCAUCACAUGUUCCUCAAGCAUUGGAGUCCUAUUUUUUUAGUGGAUUUACAUGGGAAUCAGUAGUCAUAGGCUACAGUUUUGGACUAGUUGUUGGAACUGUCAUGUGGAGUCUCAUGUUUAAAUAUCGUAAGCCAAAAUGGUUAGUGGAAUUUUUUGAUGGACUCAUGCCUCAGAAAAGAAGAAGGCCAAAGAAGAGAGCUCAGAGACGACGGACUUAAUGGAAGAUUGAGAGGGGCCAACUUGUCUUUGUUUGAUUUUGUGGACUAAUUAGUGAACUUCUCUGGUUCUGUUUUUGUCUUUUUAAUAUUCUGUUUGUUGUUUGUAUAUGUUUGAUAGAAACAUAAUUAUAUAUGAGUUAUUUUAGUAUCAAUGGUUAUUCAAGUUAUGUUUCUGUUUCAAGUUGACAUAAGUGAUCCACACACCAAACUUAUUAAUUAGCUAUGAUACCCGGACUUUUCAAAAAUGCCAACAGAUACUUGUUGGAUUCUUCAAAGUAUUGCAUUUCUCAAGGAACCAACACAGGUGCGACAUCAUUAUAUUUUAGGAGAGUCGGAGCAACAUAGUUCAUUAGUACAACAAAAAGGAAAAAGCAAAGCAGUAAGCACAUAGAGUUUGGUUCAUGAUUGAAAUCACUUGAUAUUAGAAAGUUCAUAUAUUCAGCAUAACUGCAUGUCCAUUUUACAUUACAGUUCUUCUUAUACAAACUAGAAAAGAAAAUCUUGUGUUUACAGAAACUGAAAAUUGAUUUUCUAUAAUGUAAUACAUUUGCAUUGACCACACUACCCUUUUGUCACAGUGUUUUAUAGGUUACGAAGUUUAAGAAAAAAAAGUAAGAUUUUUUAAAUUUGUGAUUUUGAAUAUGACGUGCGAUUUUUGUGGCUAUAUAUAAAAGUAUGAAGUGUUGAUCUUUUUUGAAAUAGAUUAAUAGGAAAUAGUGUUACGUAAAAUGAAAGACAGAAUGUACUAUAUAGUGUGAUAUUGAACCAGAUCUUGAGAUAUAUAGAGUGCAAACUAGCUAGCUGUAAAGUAUCAACUUUGUCCCCAUUAAGUUUUUUCUACUACAAAAAAACUAGAAAAGUGAAAAGUGUUGUGGAAAAUUAUAGAAUGUACCUAACAUGUUUGAAAACAACUAAUCAGGAAUUUCUGAUACAAUUUCUCUGCAAUCUUUAACAUUAAAUAUUGACCAAGUCAAGUCUCUCUGGUGGUGGAAUUAGAAUGUUGAAUUAGCUUUACUUUUAUUUCUUUCUUGUUUAACAUCUUAUAUUUAUAAAUAAAAUAAGGCAACAUGUCCUAUCAUUAUUAUACUAAAUUUAUUUUUCUUCUUGUUUAAGAGCUUAUAUUUCUGUAAAGAAUGUGUAUGCUAUAUUUUUACAUUUUUCACUUCUGAAUAAGUAGUAGUAUAUGAAUCUUGCAUAAUAUAACCUGCUUUUCCAAGAGGCCUUUGUGUAUUAAAUUUUUUGUAUCUAUUAUCUAGAUUAAGCUUCAUCUAGAUAAUGCAAAAACCGACUCUGGUUAGUCUUCGCGGAAAUUUGCCUAAAGACUUAGAAGUCAUCGUCUGAUAGUUGCAGUAAAGUACCCCUUUUUUCUUUGUUGCUUAAUUAAAUACGAGACGGUCCUAUGAAGAAUAAUGGAGUUUCCCUCAUUAACUUAAUGUGAAAACUCAUGUGUAACUAACAAGUUUGAAAACAGCACAAGAGACAACUAAUCAAACACCAACUUGGAAAUUUCUCAUAAUAGCUUUUAGGAACGCUUUGUAUAAUCCAAUGUUUUUUUGAGCUAUUGACUUAGUACAACACAACAGGAAAAGGCUGCAUCCACCUGUGGGGCUCAUGUUGUUCAUGGGUUAUUUAUCAGUCUAGACCUUAGUGGUAGUUAUCUUUAUGGAACUGUAGAGAAUAGCAGAAGAAAAGUAUAAUCUGCUAGCCCAAGAUCAUUAACUAUAAAAGAUCGGAAUAUUCAACUAAAGAAGAGGAAGCUAGAAAGAACUUGUUUAUGGAAUAAGACUCUUUUAUUUGGGUUGUUCUUGAGUUGUAUACAAAUGACUGAGGCCACCCCUAUUUAUACUUAUGUGGGGAUGGUUCUAGACAUUACAAGAUCUAGACUAUUUUCUACAGUGAGUGUUACAUACGGGACCAAUUUCACAUCAUCUUGCGUAACAAACAAUGCAGAAAUAGUUAAUGACCUCGAAAUGAACAACAACAUCUUGAGAAAAUGAGGACAUAAGGGGUAUUAUUUUGUUAAGUCUUCUCCGUCCUCUAAAAAGUCUUGUGGAACACUACAAAAUAUGAAGUAACAAGUUGUUAGAAGUGAGUAGUACUCAUCCAUGGACCACAAGUUGUGUAGUUAGUGAUGCCAAGGUUGUAUUAUUUUUUCUCCCUUUAUGCCAAAGUUGGACAAAAUGAAUAUUGUAUAUAUAAUUGGUACUAUCAAACAAAAUUUGAAGACUUGAGUCUUUCUGGAAAAUGACUUAAAACACUUUGGACAACUUUUUUGCAAUCACAAAUUAGUUAGUGGUAGAUGUGGGGGCAAAUACCCCAUUUUAUUUGUCUGGAUAUGUUUCAUUCUCUUUUUCUAUUCACACUUUUACAGUAAAGAUGAAAGAGAAAAUAAUUUAUGUGUGAACAAAUUAAAUAUACCACAACAUGAUUUUCUUAAAAAUAAAAAAAAUAAAAAAAGUAAUUUUUGUACAAGUAGGGAUAUAUGUGAAGCCACUUUUGUAACAACGGGUAUAUUAACUCUAAAAUGACAAAGUUGAGGGAUAUAUCAUGCCCUUUUCCUUAAUGUGCCUUGCAAUGAUAACAAUAUAAGUUGAAUAGGAUACAGUUCACUACAAUUAUACCACAAAAACAACUUUUUUGAUGUAGUGUCGAUCACUACACCUUUAUCUUGAGUCGAGGGUCUACGAAAACAGCCUCUCUACUACUUUGGUUAUUCUCCAUCUCUUUCAUGUUUGAACUGUAUCAUAUAGAUGGAGUUUCCCUCAUUAACUAAAUGUGAAAAGUCUUGGAAAACAACACAAGAGACAACUAAUCGGAAAUUUCUCAUAAAAUUUCUAAUUAUGCAGGAAAUUAAGACACAUAUCAAACAAAAUUUUGAAUAAAAAGCAAAUAAAAAAAUUAAAAAAAAAUUCCACACGGUAUUAUUGUUCAUUUUUUUCCUCACUUGACUUAGUCAAGAAAUAGUUUCUCUCAUUGGAAAUUUCUUAGAAGUUCAGCAAAAAACAAUUCCACAUAAUGGGACCAAAUUCACAUCAUCUUGCCUAACACACACUGCAGCGAUAGUUAAUGACCUCAAAAUGAACUCAACAUCUAGAGAAAAUUAGGACAUAAAGAGUAUUAUUUCGUUAAGUCUUCUCCGUACUCUAAAAAGUAUUGUGGAACACUACAAUAUAUGAGUAACAAGUUGAUUUUUAAUACCAUUGUUUAAUCUCCUUAAUGUUUUGAGUAAGAUUUGAUUUUUUUUUUUACGCGAUGCGUGACGCCUAGGCAGACGUGCCCUGAGUAAGAUUUGGUUAUUCUAACUUUAUAUUAUAUUUUUUCAUUGAAUUUUUUUGUUGUUUGUACUCUUCCUUCAUAAAGGUCUGUGUAUAUCCUACCUUCUUGAAACUUUACUCGUAAGAUUACAUUAAUCAUUAUGUUAUAGGUAUUCAAUAUACAUAGGACACUUAGAACUAGUAUAUAUAUGUAUGGAUGAUACUGACUGAUUUGUAAGAAGAACACAUCCAUCCUGAACACAAACAAACAAAAAAUGGUCAUGAGUCUGUUUUUCUUUUAUUCAUUUCUAUGUUUUGUGUUUUUAUUAAGUGAAUGCUUUUCUUCAUCCUUUGAUCAUCAUCUUUGCUCUCCCACUGAAGUUUCUGCUUUGCUUCAGUUUAAGCAAUCCUUUAAAAUAUCUGAUUACUCUACUCUUCAGUGUGAUACUUCUUUCCCAAAAACAAAGUCUUGGAAUGAGAGUAGGGAUUGCUGCAGUUGGGAUGGAGUCACUUGUGACUUAUUAAACGGUCAUGUUAUCGGGUUAGACCUUAGCUGUAGUCAGCUUCGUGGAAGUAUUCAUCCCAAUAGCAGCCUCUUCCAACUUCAUCAUCUCCAAACACUAAACCUUGCUUACAAUAACUUUUCAACUUCUUCAAUCUCACAUAACAUUGGCCGAUUGAGGAAUUUGAGGCAUCUCAACCUUUCUAAUUCUUUCUUUAGUGGGAAAAUCCCAACAGAAAUCUCAUUCCUUUCCAAUUUGGUUUCACUUGAUCUUUCUUAUAGUUAUGGAUUACAACUUGAUGAGAGAACAUUUGAAACAAUGCUUCACAACUUUACAAAUCUGGAGGUACUAGCUCUCUUUCUUGGCAACAUCUCGUCACCGAUACCUGUAAGUAUUCAUCCCAAUAGCAGCCUCUUCCAGCUUCAUCAUCUCCACACACUAAACCUUGUUAACAAUUUCUUUUAUCCUUCUUCAAUCCCAAAUGGCAUUGGCCGAUUGAGGAAUUUGAGGCAUCUAAAACUCUAUGAAUUUCAAGGGAAAAUCCCAACAGAAAUCUCACACCUUUCCAAUUUGGUUUCACUUGAUCUUUCUUAUAGUUAUGAAAAAUUACAACUUGAUGAGAGAACAUUUGAAGCAAUGUUUCAGAACUUGACAAAUCUGGAGCUACUUUCUCUCUAUGGUGUCAACAUCUCAUCUCCGAUACCUGUUAAUAUUUCUUCAUCCUUAAGGUACCUGGAUCUUGGAUAUACUAAUCUGCGAGGUGUUCUCACAGAGAGCUUUUUCCUUGUGCCAAACUUGGAAAUACUCAAAUUGAGUGGGAAUGAUCUUGUCAAAGGAGUUUUUCCAAAGAUCCACUGGAGCAACACUCUGUUAAUGGAGUUGGAUAUUUCAUCCACAGGCAUCUCUGGUGAGGUGCCUGAUUCAAUUGGCACCUUCAGUUCCUUGAAUAUCUUGAACCUUGCAGGAUGCCAAUUCUCUGGUUCCAUUCCUGAUUCCAUUAGCAACCAAACACAAAUUAGGGAGUUGAUUUUAUAUCAUAAUCAUUUCACUGGCCAUAUUCCUUCCACAAUCUCUAAAUUGAAGCACCUCACACGUUUGGAUCUUUCAAUUAACUCCUUUUCAGGUGAAAUUCCUGAUGUUUUCUCAAACCUCCAAGAGCUACGUACUUUACAUCUUUCUUAUAACAGCUUCAUCGGUUCGUUUCCCGCUUCAAUUUUAAGUUUGACACAUCUUGAAUACUUAGGAUUGUCGAGUAAUUCCCUAUCUGGCCCACUGCCUAGCAACCAAAGCAUGCUUCAAAAGCUAACCGAACUGAAUUUGUCAUACAACUCACUGAAUGGUACCAUACCAUCUUGGGUGUUUAGCCUACCUUUGCUAUCUUCAGUGUCGCUCCAACAUAACCGAUUCAGAGGACUAGCCGAUGAAGUGAUCAAAACAAACCCAACAUUAAAACAACUGCAAUUAAGCAAUAAUCAACUCAGUGGUUCUUUUCCUCAAUCACUUGUGAAUCUCACAAACCUUGAAACCCUUGGAAUUUCAUCAAAUAACAUCACCAUUGAUGGGGGAAUGAAUAUCACCUUUCAUAGACUAUCAUCUUUAUUCUUAUCAUCUUGUGAACUGAAGGAUUUUCCACACUUCUUGAGAAAUGUAAAGACACUUGUGUACUUGGAUAUUUCUAACAAUAAGAUUUGUGGUCAAAUCCCUAACUGGUUUAGUGGCAUGAGGUGGGACUCGUUGCAGUUCCUAAACCUUUCUCAAAAUUCAUUAACAGGCCACCUACCACAAUUUCGUUACGAUAACCUACAGUAUCUUGAUCUGAAAUUUAACUACCUUCAGGGUCCACUAGCUUUAUCCAUUUGUAACAUGAGGAAACUUAUCUUAUUAGAUUUAUCACACAACUACUUCAGUGACUCAGUUCCACAUUGCUUGGGAAGCAUGCCUAAUCUAACGGUGCUGGACUUAAGAAGGAACAAUUUCACAGGGAGUCUUCCCCCAUUAUGUGCACACAGCACUUCGUUGAGUACCAUUGUCAUAAAUGGUAAUCCUUCCUGCAAAAGUUUUUGGAAACUUCAAGGCAAUGAUCAAAUUAGAUGACGAAGACACAAGAGAGAUCAAGUACAUGAAAUCUACGUUGAAUGCGUUAGUUGUCAGAUCGUAUGAGGAUUCGGUGAGUUUGGUGAUCAAAGGGCAGGAUAUUGAGCUAGAAAGAAUCAGCACAAUUAUGACAACCAUAGAUCUCUCCUGGAAUCGGCUCAUUGGAAAGAUUCCGCAGGAAUUGACAAGAAUGAACUUUCUGGCUUUCUUAAACCUCUCUCAAAACCAUCUUGUCGGACCAAUUCCUCACGGUCUACAAUUCAACACAUUUGAAAAUGACUCGUAUGGUGGCAACCUUGAUCUAUGUGGUCUUCCUUUGACAAAGAAAUGUGGAACGAGUGAUUCAUCGCAUGUUCCUCAACAAUUGGAGUCCGAAGAAGAAGAAGGCGAGUCAUAUUUUUUAGUGGAUUUACAUGGGAAUCAGUAGUCAUAGGCUACAGUUUUGGACUAGUUGUUGGAACUGUCAUGUGGAGUCUCAUGUUUAAAUAUCGUAAGCCAAAAUGGUUUGUGGAAUUUUUUGAUGGACUCAUGCCUCAGAAAAGAAGAAGGCCAAAGAAGAGAGCUCAGAGACGAAGGAUUUAAUGGAGGAUUGAUAGGGCUAAUUUGUCUUUGUUUGAUUUUGUGGACUAAUUAGUGAACUGUUCUGCUUUUCCCUCAUUAACUAAAUGCGAAAAGUCUUGAAAAAACAGCACAAGUAUAGAAGAAGCAUGAAAUAGAAAGAGUAGCAUUGCUUAAUCAUCUAGUACUGCUGUAGCUUAUGGUAAUCACUAGUAAUUGAUGAAUCACACUUCAAGCAUAUCAUGAAUUUGGCUUAAAGACUUAGAAGUCAUCGUCUGCUAGUUAAUACGAGAUGGUCCUAUAUAUGAAGAAUAAUGGAGUUUCCCUCAUUAACUUAAUGUGAAAAGUCUUGUGUAUCUAACAAGUUAGAAUGUUCAAAUACUUUUAACUAUAUAGUUUUAUUAUUAUUUUGUAUUCUUCUGCUUUGCGUAUCAUCGAGUUUCUCUUACAUACUCUGAUCCCUGAUUUUGUAAGAAUAGAACAUCCCGUUAUUUGGUGAAUACAAAAAAAGAGUCUCUUUUUCUUUUAUUCAUUUCUCUGUUUUGUGUUGCUAAUAAGUCUAUGCUUUUCUUCUUCCCUUUGAGCAUCAUUUUUGCUCUCCCAAGUAGACACUUUAAAACAAAUAUAAAACAUUACAUUUUAAAAUAAAAUGACAAAAGUGAAUAAAUUAAUCAGUGGAUUUACGUGGGAAUCAGUGGUCAUAGGCUACAUUUCACUACAAGUCUACGAUAAAAAAUAACUUUAGCAGGCAAUAAAUAUACACAUUAACAAAGAGUGACUAAAACCUUUACUGGUAUUAAUUAAUUGUCAUUAGAUUCAAUGUCUCUAUAGGCUUUAGGGACACUUAUAAAAAGUGCUAAUUGCCUCUAAAAAUACAUGUUUAGUAGCGAUUAAGCUAUAGCCGUUAAUUAAUUACCCCUAAAGAUCAUUUUUGAUGUAGUGUAGAUCACUACACCUUUAUCUUGAGUCGAGAGUCUAUGGAAACAACACAAGAGACAACUAAUCGUCUAGAGAAAAUGAGUACAUAGGGGGUAUUAUUUUAUUAAGUCUUCUCCAUCCUCUAAAAAGUCUUGUGGAACACUACAAAAUAUGAAGUAACAAGUUGCUAGAAGUAAGUAGUACUCAUCCUGUAAUUCAAUUGUUCAUCAGUCCCGAUUCAUCAUAAUCUUUUUUUUUCCUCUAGUCUUAGUGGAAAUUGGCUCAAAGGCUUACAAGUCAUCGUCCGCUAGUUACAAUACUGUAUCACUUUUUUCCUUAGGUGGAAUAGAAUAUUGAUGGAUUUUCCCUCAUUAACUUAAAAAUGUGAAAACUAUAGUGUACCUAACAAGUUUGAAAAUAGCAGAAUUGACAACUAAUUACUAACUUGGAAUAUUGACAUUUUAUGAUUGUAUAAAUUCCAUAGAAAAAUUGCAUACAAAUUUAUUGCAUUCUCAUAAUUGGUUUCUCUAUUAACUGUUCUCAUAAUUGGUUCAAUGACACGUCUUGACAUUUUAUGAUUAUAUAAAUUCCGUAAAAAAAUGCACUAAAAUUUACUGCAUUCAUACAACUUGGUUUCGCUUGAUUAAAGUGUCCCUUCUUGUCUUAUGGAAGAUGAAAUGGAGUAACAUCAUGUCUUUAUUGUUCAUUUAUUAUUAUUUUUUUCUCAAUUGACUUGGUCAUACAAUAGUUUCUCUCUUUGAAAUGUAUUGUGGGAAACAGAAGAAGAGAUGUUGAUGGAAAGUUAGACAAGAAUGACUUAAAAUAGGAGUUCAAAUUUCUAUCUAUCCNNNNNNNNNNNNNNNNNNNNNNNNNNNNNNNNNNNNNNNNNNNNNNNNNNNNNNNNNNNNNNNNNNNNNNNNNNNNNNNNNNNNNNNNNNNNNNNNNNNNNNNNNNNNNNNNNNNNNNNNNNNNNNNNNNNNNNNNNNNNNNNNNNNNNNNNNNNNNNNNNNNNNNNNNNNNNNNNNNNNNNNNNNNNNNNNNNNNNNNNNNNNNNNNNNNNNNNNNNNNNNNNNNNNNNNNNNNNNNNNNNNNNNNNNNNNNNNNNNNNNNNNNNNNNNNNNNNNNNNNNNNNNNNNNNNNNNNNNNNNNNNNNNNNNNNNNNNNNNNNNNNNNNNNNNNNNNNNNNNNNNUAUUAUUAAGUAUGUUAAAAUAUAAUUAUUAAAAGAUAAAUUAAAAUUAUAAAACCACAAAUACCUAAUAAGAUGUACUAUCAAUUAUUGGUUAUAACUUUCUUGCACUUUAAUUUAAAUUAUAGAUUUAUUUAUAUUUUCAAUUAUUUUUUUAUAAGAACUUUUUAUGUAUAAUAUAAAUUUUGUCUACGUUUAAUAUGCUUAGCUAUGGAUAUUAUCUCAUAGAAAGUGUAAGCAUAAAAUUUUCAUGAUAUGUUGGGUGGUGGUGAUUUAUUUUAAAUAUAUAGUUUCACUUUUUAAGAGUUAAAUCAAAUGAACUUUAGCCAACAUUUAAGAUAUAUUUUUCUACCUUAUUGAUAUAACAUGAAAAGAUUAGCAUUUAUAAUGCUACGACUAAACACAAGUAGAAUAAAAUUUCAAAGAGCAACAAUAAAUGGGUGGGCACCAACAAAUUCAACUGGGCACUCUGAGUGGGGGAAUUAUAAUUGUGUUCAAGUGGUAUGUGAUAAAUCGUACAUAUGCUUCGUCAAUCAGCGGGAACCAACAAUCUAGUGAGAAAUUUCUCAAACCAGUCAUUCUUUUACAUGGAGAACCCACACUGGUGUUUGACUCCAAAGACAUAGAAGCGUUUAUCACGGAGGAGAAUUUAAAAUACGCUCUCAUUGCCAAAUUCUCACAUGGAAGGCCUGAACUUCCAGAUUUACCGAAAAUAUUGUCUCAACAAUUAGGAUUUAAGGGUGAAUGUAACAUUGGGUUAUUAGAAAGUCGGCACGUGUUGCUGUGGUUCACUUUAAAGGAAGAUUAUAUUGCAAUCUUUUCAAAAACUAGUAGGUCGAUUAAGUUCGCUGGUACUGUUAUACCAUUCAGAAUCCAAAAGUGGACUCCCUCUUUUAGUCCUAGGGAAGAAACCUCCAUUGCAAUGGCGUGGAUUUCUUUCCCAAGUUUACCCUGUCAAUAUUUUGCUUGUAAUGCUCUGUUUUCUAUGGCUUCGGCAGUUGGACAACCUCUUGAUGUGGAUUGAGCGACCUAUGAUAAAACACGACCUAGUACUGCAAGGGUAAAAGUCGUGGUGGAUCUUUUAAGGAUCCUUCCAAAAAGAAUUAGAGUUCAAUUCAAAGAUUUAGUCACUGGCGAAAUUACAAACGUAUGGCAAAAAAUCAGGUAUGAUUAUGUACCAUAUUAUUGUAAGAGAUGUAAUCAUCAGGGGCAUAGAGAAGCUGAUUGUCGAACUCUCCGAUGGUCAAGUUGAUGCCAUGGUCAGUGAAAAUCAUAUUGAAGGAGAAAAAUUUCAAGGAGAUCUUCAUGAUCAUCUCAAUUCCUAAAAAACUGAUUUAAACAGGCUGGAAAUUGGUGAAAAGGAUGAUGAAGAAACUGUUAAAGAUUUAGAUGUAGGGGCUGAAAAGAGUGGUGUUCAAAAUCAAAAUUUGGUGCGCCAAAAUUCUGGCCAGCGCCAAGGCAAAGCAAUGUUGGACGACUAUUCUUCAGGGAAUCAAGUAUUAUCCUUAAUUCCUCAAACUGGUGAGUCUUCGCGGCAAAGUUGUAAUUCAGUUGAUCAUGUCUUUAAUUAUUCUUUCAUUUUUUUUCCUCACUUGACUUAGUCAAGCAAUAGUUUCUCUCAUUGGAAAUUUCUUACAAGUUUUGCAGAAUUUUUUUCUACAUAAUGGGACCAAUUUCACAUCAUCUUGCGUUAGUAACACACAACAGAGAGAUAGUUAAUGACUUCGAAAUGAAUACAACAUCAGAGAAAAUUAGGACAUAGGGAGUAUUAUUUUGUUAAGUCUUCUCCGUCCUCUUACAAGUCUUGUGGAACAUUACAAAAUAUGAGUAACAAGUUGUUAGAAGUGACUAGUACUCAUCUUGUAAUUCAAUUGUUCAUCAGUCCCGAUUCAUCAUAAUCUUUUUUGUUCCUCUAGUCUUAGUGGAAAUUGGCUCAAAGGCUUACACGUCAUCGUCCGCUAGUUACAAUACUGUAUCACUUUUUUCCUUAGGUGGAAUCGAAUAUUGAUGGAUUUUCCCUCAUUAACUUAAAAAAUGGGAAAACUAUUGUGUACCUAACAAAUUUGAAAAUAGCAGAAGAGACAACUAAUUAUUAACUUGGAAUAUUGACCUUUUAUGAUUGUAUAAAUUGCAUAGAAAAAUUGCAUACAAAUUUUAUUGCAUUCUCAUAAUUGGUUUCUCUAUUAACUGUUCUCAUAAUUGGUUCAAUGGCGCGUCUUGACUUUUAUGAUUUUAUAGAUUUCGUGGAAAAAUUACACUAAAAUUUAUUGCAUUCAUACAAGUUGGUUUUGUUUGAUUAAAGUUUCCCUUCUUGUCAUAGGGAAGAUAAAAUAGAGUAACAUCAUGUCUUUAUUGCUCAUUUAUUUUUAUUUUUUUGUCAAUUGACUUGGUCAUACAAUAGUUUCUCUCUUUGAAAAGUAUUGUGGAAAACAGAAGAAGAGAUGUUGAUGGAAAGUUAGACAAGAAUGACUUAAAAUAGGAGUUCAAAUUCCUACCUAUCCAUCUAUACUAAUGUUAAAUUGCUAUAAUAUUUUCAACUUAAAAACUACUUAAUUUAGUAUAUUUUCUAUAAUUUAUAAUAUGUUAUAUUAUAUUUAUUUAUUUAAUUUAAAAUAUAGCGUAUUACAUGAUUUAGCAUUCACGUGCAAUGCACGUGCAUCAAAGCUAGUACUAUCUUAAAAACUAUGUUACUAGAUUAUUUUAAAAUGUCAACAGGUACAUGUUAGAUUCUUCAAAAGUUAUGUAUUUUUUAAGGAACCAACAUUGGUGCAACAUCAUCACAUUUUUGGAGAGCCUGAGCAACAUAUACAAGAAAAUUGGAAAAAGAAGUGCAAUAAGCAUAUAGAGUUUGGUUCAUGAUUGAAAUUACUUGAUAUUAGAAAGUUAACAUUUGUGAAAAUUGAUGUUGAAGAGUAGUCAAAACUACAGAAAUGGCUAAUAAUGGGCAAAAUGCUCUCUGGAAUUGGCUCACUGGAAAGAUUCCAAGGGAACUGACAAGACUACAAUUCGAGGCAGACUAAAAACUCUCUCUCAAUGUUCUUAUCAGACCGAUUGCUGUUCCUCAUCUAUUGGAGUCCGAAGAAGAGUCGUAUUUUGCUAGUGGAUUUACGUGGGAAUCAGUGGUCAUAGUUGUGGAUUAGUUGUUGCAACUGUCAUGUGGAGCCUCAUGUCUAAAGCUAAAAUGAAUUGUGGAAUUUUUUGAAGCCAUCUAUAAAAGCAAAAGACAGAAACCUGUGAUCCUUCAAUACAAUUAGUCUCUCAUCAGUUUUCUUUGCUUGUGCAUCAUUUUUUUAUUUGAUCACUACACCUUUGUCUUGAGUCGAGGGUUUACGGAAACAGCCUCUGGUUAUUUUCCAUCACUGUGUAUCAUAUAGAUGGAAUUUCCCUCAUUAACUAAAUGUGAAAAGUCUUGAAAAAACAGCACAAGAAUAGAAGAAGCAUGAAAUAGAAAGAGUAGUAUUGCUUAAUCAGCUAGUACUGUAGCUUAUCGUAAUCACUAGUAAUUGAUGAAUCACACUGCAAGCAUAUCAUGAAUUUGGCUUAAAGACUUAGAAGUCAUCGUCUGCAUGUUAAUACGAGACGGUCCUACGAAGAAUAAUGUAAAAAGUCUUGUGUACCUAACAAGUUAGAAUGUUCAAAUACUUUUAACUAAAAUCUAUCUACAGUUUUAUUAGUAUUUUGUAUUCUUCUGCUUUGUGUAUCAUCGAGUUCUCUUACAUACUCUGAUCCCUGAUUUUGUAAGAACAGAACAUCCUAUUAUUUGGUGAAUACAAAAAAAGAGUCUCUUUUUCUUUUAUUCAUUUCUCUCUUUUGUGUUGCUAAUAAGUCUAUGCUUUUCUUCUUUCCUUUGAGCAUCAUUUUUGCUCUCCCAAGUAGGCACUUUAAAACAAAUAUAAAACAUUACAUUUUAAAAUAAAAUGACAAAAGUGAAUAAAUUAAUCAGUGGUCAUAGGCGACAUUUCACUACAAGUGUACGACAAAAACAACUUUUAGCAGCAAUAAACGUACUGUCACGCCCCGAGCCUACACCCUGGGUGUGGCCGGCACUCGGAGACCAUAGCUGGCCCCAAGCGAACACUUGGCCUGGCUUUCUUAACUCAGCGGAAACCUAACUCAACAGAAUAACUCAACUGAUAAAAUCUGGCCAAAAAGGCAACUCGAGUCUCAAAAUAGAAUAUUUAUAUAUAUAUAUAAAUGAGAGACUCAAUACUAACUGACUGACUGUCUAUGAAGCCUCUAUAAUACUGAGAUGGAUGUUGGGACAGACCCCGCAACAUCCUAAUAAAACAAAACUAAGAGAAACAAAAUAACCGAGUCCUCCGGAAAACAAGGAGGCUCACCACAGACUCUGGAGUGCUCAACUGGAUCAACGGCGUGCUGGAUGCUGAUCCUAGGUACCUGUGUCUACAUCAUAAAAAAAUGCAGGUCAACUGGCAUCAGUACAUGGAAUGUACGAGUAUGUGAGCUGGACCGCUAAACAACAACUUAAGCUUGAAAAGGGGUAUAAAAGAGAACUUACCUUGGCUUUAUUCAACUCAUGAAUAACUGAACUCAAUAUAAAGCAAUAAGACACAUGAAAUAUAUAUAGCUUGCAAAACUAUUUAAAACAUGACGUCAAAAUCAUAUUUAUAAUAUCAUAAAAAUACCAUGCUUCCUCUCAAAGUCUACUUGUGCAAUGCAUGAAUGAAGUCCCAUACCCCCAUCCAUACUAAGCAGAACCCCUCGAGGAACCAUGCAAUUUCUACUGUGGGAGUUUCUCUAACCGACAACCACCACUAUGACCUAAGUGGUGACACAACGUCUUGUCCACGCUGCCAGAACUGUUCUAUACUUUGUCGUUAUAUAGAACUACUUAACUUUAACUUAGUGGAUCCACUAGCUUAACUUACGUGAUCAUCUAAAAAGUAUGACCCGUUAAAUCCCAUGUUGGCCACAUGGUUCUUAUGGAGAGUUGAGUUAAUAUGAACUCGUGUCCCCAAUUCGGUGCUCAAGACUACUCCCAAAAAUAUACUUUAGCCCAUAUGUUUUAAAAACAAACUUCUUUCUCUAAUUUGAAUUACUUGCGCAAACUACCCUCUUAAAAGAGGUAAUUGCUCUUGAAAACUCUUUCUAAAAAGAACAUAUCAAAACCAUAUUUUUAUAUGAUCAUUGAUGACUCGGGAAGUCAUACUGCAUAAACAUUGAUGGUAUAUCUAGAGACCAUACUGUUUAAACAUUGAUGACAUACUCGAUUUUUCAUACUAAUCAUGUUUUAGAAACUCUUUCGCAAAACUCAUCUUUUUCUUAAAGGAGAUAGUACUCAAACUGCUCAAAACUCUUUUGGAAAUCUCAAUUUCCUCUCAUCUUAAAUGUGAAAACAUUUAUAAACUUAUUUGGGAAUACUUAGUUCCCUAAUAACUUUUGAGAAAUGAACUUGACUCUAUACUCUUUAAUUAACUUGAAACUCUAUACUCUUUACUUAACUUAAAACUGUAUACUCUUUACUUAAGUUGAAACUUGAGUUUUAAAAUGAAGUUAAAACGUUUAAUAACGACUCUUGAAAAACUUUGAAAACUUGCUUUGACUCGCUUCUUAACUUCUAGACUUGACCCUUAACUUCACUUUGACUUGAUCCUAACUCGCCUUGAAUUGGAUUAUGGAUUCAAGGUAUAUGAUAACAUGUUUAUGGAUGAAUUCUUGACGUUUAGACAUACCUUGGAGUAUUAGAAACAACUAUAAAACAUAGGUACAAUACUAAGGAACAUGCAUGAAAAAGUGGGGAAUGAAUGGGAAAGGUUGGCGUCCUUGGCACUCUGAGAGGCGCGGGGCGCUAGACCACAAAGCUCAGAAGGGCAGUUGGGACGCACUUCUAGGCGCGCCCCCCAAGGAGAGAAGUUCAAAACACUUCUUGGGGCGCUCUGCAAGGCGCGACGCGCCACCCCUUUUCCCCAAAAACUCGACUUUUUUCCUUCAUUUCUCCAACUCUAAACCUUCUCAACCUCAAAGUUUCCAGCCCCAAACACUUAAUAUCAUAAGACCCCUCAACAUACAAUAGAUUUAACCCGGAAACACAACCGGAAGCAUGUCCCAAAUCAACAAGGAACUUCAACAACACAAUCAACAACAUCAACAAUACAACCAACAACUUCAACAACACAACCAAUCUUUUCUCGGAAAUAAAACGAUUUUGGUGUGUGGGGGAAAGAACCAACCCAACACUAUGAACUCACAUACCUAGUAGGGAUCACCCCCGACGAUAUCCACGACGAUCUUUGACGAAACCUUGCUUGAUCUUGUCUUUCUUCUCCUCUUCACUCACAAACCCUCACUCUCACUCUUUUAAAAAGGGAAAACUGAUCUAAAAAUCAGUCUAACACAUUAAUAUAACCAAAAGAAUUGGUUAGGGAAAAGACCAAAAUACCCUUACAAAUUUCCGGGCGGACCUUCCCUGCCAACUGCCCAACUUCCAAAAGGCAUAACUCACUCAUACGAACUCGGAAUCAAGUAAAAUUGGCGGCGAUGAAAAGAUCAUUCCAUGAGCUUCGCAAACAUAACUGGAACUACACCUAACUCAUCAUGAGCUAGGAGUUAUGACUGUUCAAAGUUGGUCAAAACUCACCUUUUUUCUACACUUGUCCAAAUUUCCAGAUUUUUAAAUUCUUUCCAAAAAUGACUAUCUCCAAUUCUAAGCCUCUUCAUAGUUAUUUCAAAUUGCCGGAUGUUACAAAUACACAUUAACAAAGACUGCUAAAACCUUUACUUGUAUUAAUUAAUUAUCAUUGGAUUCAAUGUCUCUAUAGGCUUUAGGGACACUUACAAAAAGUGCUAAUUGCCGCUAAAAAUACAUGUUUAGUAGCGAUUAAGCUAUAGCCGUUAAUUAAUUACCCCUAAAGAUCAUUUUUGAUGUAGUGUAGAUCACUACACCUUUAUCUUGAGUCGAGGGUCCACUACUAGAAAACUGUAAAUUACCUGGGAAUUUCAUUUGGAGAUUAUUUUCGCAGAAAUUUCCUAUGAAUUUUCAUGCGGAAAUAUGAAAUUCCUAAAUUCUAGACUUCUCUACAUGCGAAAAAUAAUUUCCCUGAAAAAUUGGUAGGUAACUUUGGCGCCAUUUUUACAAAAUUAUUACCUAUGGAAUUAUUUGGGAAAAAUAAUUUGCAAGUAGCAUUUUCAUAGGUAAAUUCACAAGUAAUAAAAAAAUUUAUUUUUUUAGUAUGUUUGCAAGAAAAUUCCUAGAAAAACAUAUUUGCAGAUUUAGCUAGAAAUAAUUACUUGAAAAUUUAUUUGCAAAUAAUUUUAUACGUGUUAUUACUUGGGGAUUUUAUUGUUGUGACUUUGGUUGAAGAUUUUUAGAGGAAUGCAUACUUGAAUUUUUUUAAAUACAAUUUAAUUGGAAGUAUUUUCUUGGAAUCUAAGGAUUUUUUUAUUUGGAGUCUUCAAGAAAUAUUUUCUUUAAAAUAUAUUUAACAAAAUCUAAAACUAUAAUAAUAUAAAAAAUAACAAUGACAUUAGAAUGAAUUUUAUUGUUAAAUAUAUACUCUACUUUUAGAUUACAUAAAUUAUUAUACAAUAAUAUCAAUCUAACACUAUAUUGGAACAUUACCACAAAUGUCAUGAACAAUAUUUUUAACUUAUAUAUAGUUACAAUAUUUAGUCCUAAAAACCAAUGAUGCGAUAUUUUUUUUUUGAAAGAUACAAAAGCAUUAAAAAUUAUAUGGCUAGUUAUUUAUCCUUAGAAAAAUAACUAUCAUAAAUAUAUUUAUUUUUGAUUAGAUAUUACUUUAUAUUAAAUUUCGUAUUAUUGAAUAAGUCAAUCACUGUUUAAGUAGAGUAAAAUUAAAUUAUAUACAUUAUUAAUGUGAAUUUUAAUCAACCCCUAGUUUAUAGAAUUAUAUUAAAUGAAAAAUAAAUAAAAUUUUAACUAUAUAUCAAAUUUAUAUUUUUUUUUUCUUACAAGCAUUAAAUAUGAUAUAAUUUCUCUAUAGUAAGUUAUUAAAUGUUAUUUAUUUGCAAAUAUUUAUUAUUAAGUAUGUUAAAAUAUAAUUAUUAAAAGAUAAAUUAAAAUUAUAAAACCACAAAUACCUAAUAAGAUGUACUAUCAAUUAUUGGUUAUAACUUUCUUGCACUUUAAUUUAAAUUAUAGAUUUAUUUAUAUUUUCAAUUAUUUUUUUAUAAGAACUUUUUAUGUAUAAUAUAAAUUUUGUCUACGUUUAAUAUGCUUAGCUAUGGAUAUUAUCUCAUAGAAAGUGUAAGCAUAAAAUUUUCAUGAUAUGUUGGGUGGUGGUGAUUUAAUUUAAAUAUAUAGUUUCACUUUUUAAGAGUUAAAUCAAAUGAACUUUAGCCAACAUUUAAGAUAUAUUUUUUACCUUAUUGAUAUGACAUGAAAAGAUUAGCAUUUAUAAUGCUACGACUAAUUAAACACAAGUAAAAUAAAAUUUCAUGUUGGUAAGUUUUAAUGAAAAAAAUCAAUUAAAUAGAUUGAAGACUUUGUAAGUGAAACACUCAUAGUUGAGUGACUUUGUAAGUGAAACACUCAUAGUUAAGUGACUUUUGAGUUAAAAAUCAAAGUUGAGUGACUUUCUGAGAAAAAAACUCAUAGUUGAGUGACUUUGAAGUUAAAAACCAAAGUUGAGUGUCUUUCUAAGAAAAUAGUACAUAGUUGAAUGACCUUAUGAGAUAUUAAAAAUUUAGACACAUAUCAAACAAAAUUUUGAAUUAAAAGCAAAUAAAAGAAUAAAAAUAAAAAUUCCACACGGUAUUAUUGUUCAUUUUUUCCUCACUUGACUUAGUCAAGAAAUAGUUUCUCUUAGAAGUUCUGCAUAAUUUUUUUCUACAUAAUGGGACCAAUUUCACAUCAUCUUAUGUAACACACUGCAGAGAUUGCUAAUAACCUCCAAAUGAACACAACAUCUAGAGAAAAUGAGGGCAUAUGGAGUAUUAUUUUGUUAAGUCUCCUCCGUCCUCUAACAAGUCUUGUAGAACACUACAAAAUAUGAGUAACAAGUUGUUAGAAGUGAGUAGUACUCUUCUUGUGAUUCAAUUGUUCAACAAUCUCGAUUUAUCAUAAUCUUUUUCCCCUUCUAGUCUGUUGUGAUCAUGGAUAGCCGAGAAGUUAGACAACUUGUUGGGCCCGAGGCUAAACCACGAAGUGGAUAAGACAGCCCAACAAUAGGUUUGCUUGGAAUCCAGGUUGAGUACAAAUAAAAGGGUAAUCACUGUGGUUUUGGGAGUUUAUGCAGAUUGUGAAAGAAAUUGUUUGUUCCUCCCAUCUCUUUCUAGAGUCUAAGCUUUUCAUCCACAUUUUUAUCUCUAUCUUUAGUUACUUGUUAUUUAAGUAUUUUCCUUUGUAAUUCUAUAGUUGAAGUGUUGCCGUCGUGAUUUGUCUAUCAGUGAUUACAUAUUACUUGAGUAUUUGAGUUGCGAAUUUAGAUUCGUUACAUAGUCUUUGAGGAAAUUGGCUUAAAGGUUUACAAGUCAUCGUCCGCUAGUUACAUUACUACAUCCUUUAUUUCCUUAGGUGGAAUGGAAUAUUGAUGGAUUUUCCCUUGUUAACUAAAUGUGAAAACUAUUGUGUACCUAACAAGUUUGAAAAUAGCAGAAGAGACAACUAAUCACUAACUCAGAAUAUUGACCUUUUAUGAUGGUAUAGAUUCCAUGGAGCUUGGUUUCCUCUAUUCCAAACGUACCAUAACUGUUGUCAUAAUUGGUGUCCCUUCUUGUCACAUGGAAGAUGAAAUGGAGUAACAUCAUGUCUUUAUUGCUCAUUUAUUUUUAUUUUUCUCAAUUGACUUGGUUAUACAAUAGUUUCUCUCUUUGAAAAGUAUUGUGGAAAACAGAAGAAGAGAUGUUGAUGGAAAGCUAGACAAGAAUGACUUAAAAUAGGAGUUCAAAUUUCUACCUAUCCAUCUAUACUAAUGUUAAAUUGCUAUAAUAUUUUCAACUUAAAACACUUAAUUUAGUAUAUUUUUUAUAAUUUAUAAUAUGUUAUAUUAUAUUUAUUUAUUUAAUUUAAAAUAUAGUGUACUACAUGAUUUAGCAUUCAUGUGCAAUGCACGUGCAACAAACCUAGUACUAUCUUAAAAACUAUGUUACUUAGAUUAUUUAAAAAUGUCAACAGGUACGUGUUAGAUUCUUCAAAAGUUAUGUAUUUUUUAAGAAAUCAACAUUGGUGCAACAUCAUCAUCUUUUUGGAGAGCCUGAGCAACAUAGUUCAUUUAUACAAGAAAAUUGGAAAAAGAAGUGCAAUAAGCAUAUAGAAGAAGCAUGAAAUAGAAAGAGUAGCAUUGCUUAAUCAGCUAGUACUGUAGCUUAUCGUAAUCACUAGUAAUUGAUGAAUCACACUUGAAGCAUAUCAUGAAUUUGGGUUAAAGACUUAGAAGUCAUUGUCUGCUAGUUAAUACGAGACGGUCCUAUAUAUGAAGAAUAAUGGAGUUUCCCUCAUUUUUGCUCUCCCAAGUAGGCACUUUAACAAUUCAAAAUUUAAACAAAUAAAAACUCGAUUUUACCUUUGACACACGUGAAUUGCACGCAUUUUACCAAGUAGGAUUUGAGUGUUUAUUUAUCAAGUAGGAUUCGAUCUUGGCUCACUUUGGCAACUCAAUUUAUCUCACAACGAUCCCAGAGAAGAUAUCCCAACGGAACUGGGACAAAUGAAUACGCUUUUAAGUUCUAGAUUUCUCAUGGAAUUGGCUCACUUGAAAGACUCCAAGGGAACUGACAAGACUAAAAAAUUUGCCAGAUUUUGUUGGUAUAAUAUACCACAAAUAUAAAACAUUAUAUUUUAAAAUAAAAUGACAAAAGUGAAUAAAUUAAUCAGUGAAUUUACGUGGGAAUCAGUGGCCAUAGGCUACAUUUCACUACAAGUCUACGACAAAAACAACUUUUAGCAGCAAUAAAUAUACACAUUAACAAAGAGUGCUAAAAUUUUACUGGUAUUAAUUAAUUGUCAUUGGAUUCAAUGUCUCUAUAGGCUUUAGGGACACUUACAAAAAGUGUUAAUUGCCGCUAAAAAUACAUAUUUAGUAGCGAUUAAGCUAUAGCCAUUAAUUAAUUACCCCUAAAGAUCAUUUUUGAUGUAGUGUAGAUCACUACACCUUUAUCUUGAGUCGAGGGUCCACUACUAGAAAACUGUAAAUUACCUGGAAAUUUCAUUUGGGAAUUAUUUUCGCAGAAAUUUCCUAUGAAUUUUCAUGCGGAAAUAUGAAAUUCCUAAAUUCUAGACUUCUCUACAUGCGAAAAAUAAUUUCCCAGAAAAAUUGGAAGAUAACUUUAGCGCCAUUUUUACAAAAUUAUUACCUGGGGAAUUAUUUGGGAAAAAUAAUUUGCAAGUAGCAUUUUCAUAGGUAAAUUCGCAANNNNNNNNNNNNNNNNNNNNNNNNNNNNNNNNNNNNNNNNNNNNNNNNNNNNNNNNNNNNNNNNNNNNNNNNNNNNNNNNNNNNNNNNNNNNNNNNNNNNNNNNNNNNNNNNNNNNNNNNNNNNNNNNNNNNNNNNNNNNNNNNNNNNNNNNNNNNNNNNNNNNNNNNNNNNNNNNNNNNNNNNNNNNNNNNNNNNNNNNNNNNNNNNNNNNNNNNNNNNNNNNNNNNNNNNNNNNNNNNNNNNNNNNNNNNNNNNNNNNNNNNNNNNNNNNNNNNNNNNNNNNNNNNNNNNNNNNNNNNNNNNNNNNNNNNNNNNNNNNNNNNNNNNNNNNNNNNNNNNNNNNNNNNNNNNNNNNNNNNNNNNNNNNNNNNNNNNNNNNNNNNNNNNNNNNNNNNNNNNNNNNNNNNNNNNNNNNNNNNNNNNNNNNNNNNNNNNNNNNNNNNNNNNNNNNNNNNNNNNNNNNNNNNNNNNNNNNNNNNNNNNNNNNNNNNNNNNNNNNNNNNNNNNNNNNNNNNNNNNNNNNNNNNNNNNNNNNNNNNNNNNNNNNNNNNNNNNNNNNNNNNNNNNNNNNNNNNNNNNNNNNNNNNNNNNNNNNNNNNNNNNNNNNNNNNNNNNNNNNNNNNNNNNNNNNNNNNNNNNNNNNNNNNNNNNNNNNNNNNNNNNNNNNNNNNNNNNNNNNNNNNNNNNNNNNNNNNNNNNNNNNNNNNNNNNNNNNNNNNNNNNNNNNNNNNNNNNNNNNNNNNNNNNNNNNNNNNNNNNNNNNNNNNNNNNNNNNNNNNNNNNNNNNNNNNNNNNNNNNNNNNNNNNNNNNNNNNNNNNNNNNNNNNNNNNNNNNNUUUUCCUCACUUGACUUAGUCAAGAAAUAGUUUCUCUCAUUGGAAAUUUCUUAGAAGUUCUGCAAAAAAAAUUUCCACAUAAUGGGGCCAACUUCACAUCAUCCUGCCUAACACACACUGAAGCGAUAGAUAAUGACCUCGAAAUAAACUCAACAUCUAGAGAAAAUUAGGACAUAGAGUCUUAUUUUGUUAAGUUUUCUCCGUCCUCUAGAAAGUCUUGUGAAACACUACAAAAUAUGAGUAACAAGUUGUUAGAAGUGAGUAGUACUCAUCCAUGGACCACAAGUUGCGUAGUUAGUGAUGCGAAAGUGGUACUAUCUACCAACACUGACUUAAAGACUUGAGUUAACACUUGGGACAACUCUUUUUGCAACCACAAAUUAGUUAGUACCCCAUUUUAUACCUCAUAGUCUCAUGCAUAGAUAAGUCAACCACGUUACUUUAUCAAAUAGUGUUUAGUUAAUUGCUCGUUGUAAUAAUUAAGNNNNNNNNNNNNNNNNNNNNNNNNNNNNNNNNNNNNNNNNNNNNNNNNNNNNNNNNNNNNNNNNNNNNNNNNNNNNNNNNNNNNNNNNNNNNNNNNNNNNNNNNNNNNNNNNNNNNNNNNNNNNNNNNNNNNNNNNNNNNNNNNNNNNNNNNNNNNNNNNNNNNNNNNNNNNNNNNNNNNNNNNNNNNNNNNNNNNNNNNNNNGUUCGAGGUUCUUAUUAAUAUUCUAGGAAGGUUUUAAACGCAUCUAGAAUAUCCACUAAUGUGGUUAUCCGACGAUUAAUUUUUUUGGCUAAAAUAAUUUAACUUAGCUUGAAUUGCAAAAUUGAACUAUUAUAUAGUUGGGACCAUUUUAAGAGAAAAAUAUCAAAAUACUAAAAAAUAAAUUUAUCCAAGUGAAAUAUUUUGUAAACUUAUUUAUUUUAUUUAUUUAUUUAUUUUUAGGUCAAGUAGGAGAUGAAUAGUUUAGUUUAAAUAAUUAACUCAAAAUGGGUGUCUUUUGGGGGGUUUGAAUGUUUGAAACCUUAAAAUCAAUAUCAAUUAUUAACAAAUAAAUAAACACAAUAAAAUAAAGAGAGAGAAUUAGGCCCAAGUCUGGAUUUCCUGUCCGUCUGGGCCAGUACUUGGGCCUAAUUUCAGUUUUGGGCCCUUGGCCCAUUUAAGUCAUUUGUACCUGUCCUAUUCUAACAUAAUAGAACUAUUUUCCAUUUGGGGGCCUUAGGCCCAAUUCUUCCACCUGUUCAAACUAGCACAAUAAUUGCAAAUAAAAUGACAAGGGCUUAGGCCCAAAAAAUAACAAAAUACAACUUCUUAAAGAAGAGUGGGCCUCUUUAAGGCCAUUUUCUCAUUUUUCGUAUACACUAGGUGUAUACUAGUGUAUACAAUCUCGUAUCAGCUCCAAACCCUGUUCAUCAAAUUUUUGGGACCCCUCCUUCAAUUGCUAUGGUUGGUUGACUCGAUAAAGGAUUUUUGGGGCACUCGUGGCCCCCUUUGGAAUGCAAAGGUUGAGUCCAUGAGGACUUGGGCAUAUUUCACAUGAAAAGACACAUAAAUAAGAAUUAGCACCUUAUUAUAGGUUGAUGAAAGUAAUUAUGAAUUGAUUAAUAUUAGACUCAAACUUAAACAAGUUCCAAUAGAGUAGUAAAUCCACGGUGAUUAUGCAAACGAAGCCUUAUCACAUUACUCAACUAACAUGAAAGACAUGGUAACCUCUCAAUUAAUAUAAACUCAAGUUUCCUUUCAAAAAGUAUGAAAAUAAAAAAAAAGUAAAGCAUUAGAAGGAGACAGUAGCUAUGAUGUCAAAUAAUUAAGUGGCUAAAAUUCUAAAGAAAAAUUAUUCUGAUUAUGAAUCUACACCCAGAUGUAGCAUCUAUGAUAAACACACUUGUCACAUAAUUAAAUAUAGUCCACACAUUUCAAAAAUAAUAAUAAAUAAAUAAAUUAGGAGAAUACUUCAACUUUGCAUAUAUCUAAAAAAAAAACAAAGGAAGAGAAAAUCAAUAAGGAUUAAAUCGACUAAUACAUAGACUCUUUUUUUUAAAAAAUAAAAUAAAAUAAAAUAAAGAAAUAAGAUAAAAAUAAAUAAAUAAAUAAACAAGAGCUAAUUGAUUACAUACAAACGAAACGAAACGGUUAACAUGCUAGACUCAGUUUAAGCUUGACUAAAAAAUUUCUGAAUAGACGAUUUACCACAGAUUUAGUGCAUAUUGCAAAACCAAUGAGGUAGGACACUUUAUCCAUGGACAAACCAACAAAUAUUGCUUAUGAAAUAUAGCAAGAGAUCACAUGAUUUGCAGCCAUGAAUAGGAGGGAGCUUGGGGAUUUGCAACUUUAUUAAAAAGGGGGAAAGGAGGGAAGAAUAUACGUCAUUUAACAGACAAGAUUAGACAUUCAAAACAUAAUUAUUAAGACUACUUCAUUAUUUUGUUUCCCACCCGGUGUCCGGAGCCCACUUUGGAGUUCCGACUAAAUUCGGAUCGCGCUUUGCAGGGCCCAUUCGGGGGUGGCGCUCCCAACAAAAUUUUCUCCAUACCCAGGGCUCGAACCCGAGAUCUCUGGUUAAGGGUGAAGCACUCCCACCAGUGCACCACUACCCAUGUUGGUACCGUAUCCCUUAUUUCCUUAGGUGGAAUGGAAUAUUGAUGGAUUUUCCCUCAUUAGCUUAAUGUGAUCGAAAACUAUUGUGUACCUAACAAGUUUGAAAAUAGCAGAAGAGACAACUAAUCACUAACUCAGAAUAUUGAUCUUUUAUAAUUCUAUAAUUCCGUGGAAAAAUUGCAUCAAAAUUUAAUGUAAUUGUACAACUUGGUUUCCUCUAUUCUGAAUGUACACUAAUUGUUCUCAUAAUUGGUUCAAUGACGUGUCUUAACCUUUUAUGAUUAUAUAAAUUCUGUGGAAAAAUUGCACUAAAAUCCUCAAUUGACUUGGUCAUAUAAUAGUUUCCCUCUUUGAAAAAGUAUUGUGAAAAACAGAAGAAGAGAUGUUGAUGGAAAGUUGGACAAAAUCAUCAUAUAUCUAUCAUUUUGGCCUUAUACUAAAUUAUAUAUUAUUAUAUUUAUAUAUUAUUAAAAGUGGAAAGCUCUUGUCUUCAAAGUUGAUUUACCAUUUUGCUCUUAUAUUAAAUUAAUUUUUUUAUAAAAUAAUUUUUCUUUACACCAUAAUUAAAAAAAAUCAAUUAAAUUAGUUUUCAAUANNNNNNNNNNNNNNNNNNNNNNNNNNNNNNNNNNNNNNNNNNNNNNNNNNNNNNNNNNNNNNNNNNNNNNNNNNNNNNNNNNNNNNNNNNNNNNNNNNNNNNNNNNNNNNNNNNNNNNNNNNNNNNNNNNNNNNNNNNNNNNNNNNNNNNNNNNNNNNNNNNNNNNNNNNNNNNNNNNNNNNNNNNNNNNNNNNNNNNNNNNNNNNNNNNNNNNNNNNNNNNNNNNNNNNNNNNNNNNNNNNNNNNNNNNNNNNNNNNNNNNNNNNNNNNNNNNNNNNNNNNNNNNNNNNNNNNNNNNNNNNNNNNNNNNNNNNNNNNNNNNNNNNNNNNNNNNNNNNNNNNNNNNNNNNNNNNNNNNNNNNNNNNNNNNNNNNNNNNNNNNNNNNNNNNNNNNNUCUUUGCAUUUAAUAAUUAUAAUAACCAUAACUUUAUAUGAAACGUUGGUGGUUCAAUUAUUUAAUUGUUACGUUAACCAAUGGCCAACUUCUCAUUGCUACAGUAAGUACAAAGAAGUUGAAAAGUUGAAUUGAAUAUUAAUUAGUAAAUUAAUUCAUUAGUAAAUAAAUGAAAGGAAAUUUCAAAGGUCUAGGAAAAAAUAUUAUAUAAAGGCUAAACGAGUUCACUAAUUUCCCAUCUGCUCUUUGUAACUUUUGAGAUUGAAUGCAAAUCAUUUUAACUUCGAUUUCAUUUUUUCCCUUUUCUUUUUAUAUCCUUUGAUAGUUUGCAUAUAUAAAAGAAGAGAUGGGAGUAUGUAAGAUUGUUUUUUAUGCCUUCUAAUAGUUUGCAUAAAAGAAGAGAUGAGAAGUAUGUAAGAUUAUUGAUGCCAAAUUAGAGUAGCUGUCAUAUUCAAUUUUUACUACUCUUGAAUUAUCAGCUAUAAUAUAAUCUUCCGAGAAAUUAUGAUCAAAAUCACCAUCUCUCCUCCCUUUCAACUAUCAGUAUUACACCGUUUAUACUAGUUUUGUAAAAAAUUUAAAACAUACUAUUUUGGUGAAUUGAUUUAAACAAUGGCUUAUUUUGGUCAAAAUUUUGAUUUCUCCGGAAGGUUGAUCAUAGUUGACAUAAAUGAAUUCAUUGUUAUAGUAUAAUCUGAUUACAAUUCUUUAAGAUACAAAGAUAUUAUACUCUCUACAAAUAAGUUAUUUCAUGAUAUAAAGAAAUGGUGUUAUUUGAAUGCGUUGAUUGAUGCUCCUCUUCACGUUGAUUACUGGCUAUAACCUUUUAUCAUCAUUGCAAUAUUCAACUUUAACUUGAAUUAUUACUUGAAAAGAACUCAUUAAUCUUUUUUGUGUAUGCAUGGCAUAUUUGGUUAAUUAGAAUUACAAUACUUUGAUUUCACAUGUAUUGGAAUUUCAUUUGUUUCCAUGCACAAUUGUUAAGCUUAUAACAAUUAGCUUUAAAUUUUUAAUUAGCAUAUAUUAUUUGCGUUUUGUAAAUUUUAACGAGAAUUGUUUUAAAUAUCAUAUCUAAGUUUUUUGUUUAAAUAUUUCAGAUUCAUUGUUUUGCUAUUUGGUGUGAGCAUCACAAUUCAUUAUUCAAUUAUUAUGUCAUGAAAUUUAUUACUUAAUGUUAUUAGGUGCAAAUAUUUUGCUUAUAAAGAAGUAUUAGUAUUAAAUAUUUGCACCUAAUAACAUUAAGUAAUAAAUUUCAUGACAUAAUAAUUGAAUAAUGAAUUGUGAUGCUCACACCAAAUAGCAAAACAAUGAAUCUGAAAUAUUUAAACAAAAAACUUAGAUAUGAUAUUUAAAAAAUCAUUUAGUGCUCAACGAAGAAGUCAUUCAAAUUGGAUGAGUGUUACAUUCAUCAAUUUUAGUUUGUACUUUUUUUUGUUAUUGAUUACACUAUGGUUUUAAUAUAACUUAUAUCGUGUAUACUACUUGCUUGAGACACACGUGCAACGUACGUGUUCAGAAACUAGUAUAUCUAUAAAAGCAAACGACAGAAAACUGUGAUCCUUCAAUACAAUAAGUUGAUUACUCAGUUUUCUUUGCUUAUGCAUCAUUUUUUAAUUUGAUCACUACACCUUUAUCCUGAGUUGAGGGUCUACGAAAACAGCCUCUCACUACACCUCUUCAUAUUUGAACGGUAUCAUAUAGAUGAAAUUUCCCUCAUUAACUUAAUGUGAAAAGUCUUUUGAAAAACAACUAAUCGGAAAUUAUUUCUCAUAAAAUUUCUCUACAGGUGUAGUGAUCUUCACCAAGUUAUUCAAAACAUAUAGGAAAUUAAGACGAGUUAAUACAUCAGAUGGUCACUCAACUAUGCACUAUUUUCUCAGAAAGUCACUCAACUUUGGUUUUAAACUUAAAAGUCACUCAACUAUGAGUUUUUUUCUCAGAAAGUCACUCAAAAAUACAUGUUUAGUAGCGAUUAAGCUAUAGCCGUUAAUUAAUUACCUCUAAAGAUCAUUUUUGAUGUAGUGUAGAUCACUACAUCUUUAUCUUGAGUCGAGGGUGCACUACUAGAAAACUGUAAAUUACCUGGGAAUUUCAUUUGGGGAUUAUUUUUGCAGAAAUUUUCUAUGAAUUUUCAUGCGGAAAUAUGAAAUUCCUAAAUCUAGACUUCUCUACAUGCGAAAAAUAAUUUCCCAGAAAAAUUGGUAGGUAACUUUUGCGCCAUUUUUACAAAAUUAUUACCUGGAGAAUUAUUUGGGAAAAAUAAUUUCCAAGUAGCAUUUUCAUAGGUAAAUUUGCAAGUAUUAAAAAAUUAAUUUUUUAGUAUGUUUGCAAGAAAAUUCCUAGAAAAACCUAUUUGCAGAUUUAGCUAAAAAUAAUUACUUGAAAAUUUAUUUGCAAAUAAUUUUAUACGUGUUAUUACCUGGGGAUUGAUGUUCUACAAAUUUUGUUGGGAAUUUAUUUCUUGAGGAUUUACUUGGGAAUUUUUCUUACUUGGAGAAUUACUUGGGGAUUUUAUUGUUGCGAAUUUGGUUGAAGAUUUGUAUAGGAAUGCAUACUUGAAUUUUUUUAAAUACAAUUUAAUUGGAAGUAUUUUCUUGGAAUCUAAGGAUUUUUUUAUUUGGAGUCUUCAAGAAAUAUUUCUUUAAAAUAUAUUUAACAAAAUCUAAAACUAUAAUAAUAUAAAAAUAACAAUGACAUUAGAAAGAAUUUUAUUGUUAAAUAUAUACUCUACUUUUAGAUUAAAUAAAUUAUUAUACAAUAAUAUUAAUCUAACACUAUAUUGGAACAUUACCACAAAUGUCAUGAACAAUAUUUUUAACUUAUAUAUAGUUACAAUAUUUAGUCCUAAAAACCAAUGAUGCGAUUUUAUUUUUUUGAAAGAUACAAAGCAUUAAAAUUAUAUGGCUAGUUAUUUAUCCUUAGAAAAAUAACUAUCAUAAAUAUAUUUAUUUUUUAUUAGAUAUUACUUUAUAUUAAAUUUCGUAUUUUUGAAUAAGUCAAUCACUGUUUAAGUAGAGUAAAAUUAAAUUAUAUACAUUAUUAAUGUGAAUUUUAAUCAACCCCUAGUUGAUAGAAUUAUAUUAAAUGAAAAAUACAUAAUUUUUAACUAUAUAUCAAAUUUAUAUAUAAUUUUUUCUUACAAGCAUUAAAUAUGAUAUAAUUUCUCUAUAGUAAGUUGUUAAAUGUUAUUUAUUUGCAAAUAUUUAUUAUUAAGUAUGUUAAAAUAUAAUUAUUAAAAAAGGUAAAUUAAAAUUAUAAAACCACAAAUACCUAAUAAGAUGUACUAUCAAUUAUUGGUUAUAACUUUCUUGCACUUUAAUUUAACUUAUAGAUUUAUUUAUAUUUUCAAUUAUUUAUUUAUACGAACUUUGUAUGUAUAAUAUAAAUUUUGUCUACAUUUAAUAUGCUUAGCUAUGGAUAUUAUCUCAUAGAAAGUGUAAGCAUAAAAUUUUCAUGAUAUGUUGGGUGGUGGUGAUUUAUUUUAAAUAUAUAGUUUCACUUUUUAAGAGUUAAAUCAAAUAAACUUUAGCCAAGAAAUAGUGUUUAGUUAACUUUUUGUUUUAUUUAAUAUGGAGGUCGUUGUAAUAAUUAAGAAAUAAAAUAGUGUUUAGAUAAUUAUAGCAUUCUUUCUUACAUGACUACUUAUUUUAUUGACUUAUUUAUAUAUUGACGAUCAUCAUGAACCCAUAUUAUUAUUUUUACCUUUUUAUUCCUAUUACUAUUUUUAUUUAUUCAUUAUUGAAAUAUUCUAAAGCCUACCAAACGGUAAAACCUUUUGCAUUAUGCAAAAUAAAUUGUUGGGUGUUAAAAAAAGAUCAAAUUGUUUUUGGUGUAUUCUUUGAAUUACAAGCACUGCAACAAACAACUACAACAAAAAACAACUUUUAGCGGCAAUAAAUAUACACAUUAUUAAAGAGUGUUAAAGAUUUUGCCGGUAUUUUAAUAUUAUUAUAUCAACUUCUGAAAUUCAGCACAAUUAUUUCAAUAUCAUUGUAUAAUCUUAUUAAUGUUUUGAGUAAGAUUUGAUUAUUCUAACUUUAUAUUAUAUUUUUUCAUUGAAAAAUUUUGUUGUUUGUAUUCUUACUUUAAAGGUCUGCGUACAUCCUACCUUCUUGAAACUUUACUCGUAGGAUUACAUUAAUAAGUAUGUUAUAGGUAUUCAAUUUACAUAGGACACUUAGAAAGUAGUAUAUAUCUGUGUGGAUAAGACUGAUUGAUUUGUAAGAAGAACACAUCCAUCCUGUUAUUUGGUGAAAUCAAACAAACAAAAAAUGGCCGUGAGUCUGUUUUUCUUUUAUUCAUUUCUCUGUUUUGUGUUUUUAAUAAGUGAAUGCUUUUCUUCAUCCUUUGAUCAUCAUCUUUGCUCUCCCACUGAAGCUUCCUCUUUGCUUCAGUUCAAACAAUCCUUUCAAAUUAUGUCCAAAGAGUACUUUAGUUAUUGGUCUGAUGGAGAUUCUUUCCCGAAAACAAAGUCUUGGAAUGAGAGUAGGGAUUGCUGCAGUUGGGAUGGAGUCACUUGUGACUUAUUAAACGGUCAUGUUAUCGGGUUAGACCUUAGUAGUAGUCUGCUUUGUGGAAGUAUUCAUCCCAAUAGCAGCCUCUUCCAACUUCAUCAUCUCCAAACACUAAACCUUUAUAACAACCUCUUCAAUUAUUCUUCAAUCCCACAUAGCAUUGGCCAAUUGACGAAUUUGAGGCAUCUCAACCUUUCUCAUUCUCACUUUGGUGGGAAAAUCCCAACAGAAAACUCAUACCUUUCUAAUUUGGUUUUACUUGAUCUUUCUGUGUAUGGAUUACAACUUGAUGAGAGAACAUUUGAAACAAUGCUUCACAACUUCACAAAUCUGGAGGUACUAGCUCUCUCUCUUGGCGACAUCUCAUCACUGAUACCUGUAAGUAUUCAUCCCAAUAGCAGCCUCUUCCAGCUUCAUCAUCUCCACACACUUAACCUUGAUAACAAUUACUUUUAUCCUUCUUCGAUCCCAAAUGGCAUUGGCCGAUUGAGGAAUUUGAGGCAUCUAAAACUCUCUGGCUUUGAUGGGAAAAUCCCAACAGAAAUCUCAUACCUUUCCAAUUUGGUUUCACUUGAUCUUUCUUAUAGUUAUAAAUUCUUACAACUUGAUGAGAUAACAUUUGAAGCAAUGCUUCACAACUUCACAAAUCUGGAGAUACUUUCUCUCUGGUAUGUCAACAUCUCAUCUCCGAUACCUGUGAAUAUUUCUUCUUCCUUAAGAUAUGUGGAUCUUGCACAUACUAAUCUGCGAGGUGUUCUCACAGAGAGCUUUUUCCUUGUGCCAAACUUGGAAAGCCUCAAAUUGAGUGGGAAUGAUCUUCUCAAAGGAGUUUUUCCAAAGAUCCACCGGAGCAACACUCUGUUAAUGGAGUUGGAUAUUUCAUCCACAGGCAUCUCCGGUGAGCUGCCUGAUUCAAUUGGCACCUUUAGUUCAUUGAAUAUCUUGAACCUCGGAGGAUGUCAAUUCUCUGGUUCCAUUCCCGAUUCCAUAGGCAACCUAACCCAAAUUACGGAGUUGGCUUUGUCUUAUAAUCAUUUGGGAUAAUACAUAUAUUUGACCUUAAACUUGGCUUCAAAUUUUAACUUUGACCUCCAACUUUCAUAGUGCACAAACAAGCACUUUAACUAUCCAAUCUUUUAAUAAAUAAACACGUGAUUUUUGGAGCCAAGAGCGUGAAAUGCAAACGCUGCCACGUGUAUUAGAAAUUCCUGAUGUUUUCUCUAACCUCAAAGAGCUACGUACUUUACAUCUUUCUAAUAACAGCUUCAUCGGUUCGUUUCCCUCUUCAAUUUUAAGUUUGACACAUCUUGAAUACUUAGGAUUGACGAAUAAUUCCCUAUCUGGCCCACUGCCUAGCAACCAAAGCAUGCUUCAAAAGCUAACCGAACUGAAUUUGUCAUACAACUCACUGAAUGGUACCAUACCUUCUUGGGUGUUUAGCCUACCUUUGCUAUCUUCAGUAUCGCUCCAACAUAACCGAUUCAGAGGACUAGCCGAUGAAGUGAUCAAAACAAACCCAACAUUAAAAGAACUGCAUUUAAGCAAUAAUCACCUCAGUGGUUCUUUUCCUCAAUCACUUGUGAAUCUCACAAACCUUGAAACCCUUGGAAUUUCAUCAAAUAACAUCACCAUUGAUGAGGGUAUGAAUAUCACCUUUCUUAGCCUAUCAUCUUUAUUCUUAUCAUCUUGUCAACUGAAGGAUUUUCCACACUUCUUGAGAAAUGUAAAGACACUUCAGGUCUUGGAUAUUUCUAACAAUAAGAUUUGUGGUCAAAUCCCUAACUGGUUUAGCGGCAUGACGUGGGACUCAUUGCAGUUCCUAAACCUUUCUCAUAAUUCAUUAACAGGCCAC